UUUUUUUUUUUUUUUUGUGUAAACAAAGAACUCCUGUCUUAGGCGUGGUCACGUCUAACUGCUAUAGAGUCCUCAGAACCUGCACGAAAAUUUCUUCCCCUCGGGCGUGACCACCUGGCGUGGGCACGUCUAACUGCCAUGGAGUCCGCAGAUCCUGAACGAAAAUUUCUUUCCCUCAGGCGUGACCACCUGGCGUGGGCACGUCUAACUGCCAUGGAGUCCGCAGAUCAUGAACGAAAAUUUCUUUCCCUCAGGCGUGACCACCUGCCGUGGGCACGUCUAACUGCCAAUUUCCUAUCACCAACCAUCAACCUAUUAAUUGACAUUAACACUUAACUAAAACUUCAAAAAUGUAUAAAAACUGAAACAAAUAGUCUUGGGUUGCCUCCCAAGUAGCGCCUUUCUUUAAUGUCUUUGGCUAGACAUUGAACACCACUCUUCAAUCUGGGUGUAACUCAAUUUUCCUGGAAAUCGGUGGCCCUCCCCCAGGAUCCAAAUAGCCUUUGAGUGCAGCCUUCUUUCUUAAUUUUCUACUCCUUUUCACCUCAUACAGUGCUUUCAUCCCCUUAUACUUGUUCUCAGUAAGUUUGAAUUUAUCCCUACAAGCAAACUCAGAAAAUUCUUGCACAGAGGGAUUAAUAGCAUGAAUAGCAAACACAGGGUGAGAGUUAACAGGAUGUUUCAUUGUAUCGAAAAUAUUAAAGUGGACUAGUUCUCCAUCAAAUUCCAUGGACAAUGUACCCUUAUUAACGUCAAUUUUUGUCUGUGCUGUGCUCAAAAAGGGUCUACCUAGUAGCAAAGGUGAGGGGUCAGGGGAAUGAUCAUCAUCCAUGUCAAGUACAUAAAAGUCAGCCGGGAAUAUCAAUUUAUUAACUUUAACCAGCACAUCCUCGACCAACCCAUCAGGGUAUGCAUUUGUUCGGUCAGCUAAUUGAAUUAUUAUCUCGGUUUCUUUUAAUGGACCGAGAUUCAGAGAAGCAUACAUAGAUUUUGGCAUUACGUUGAUCGAUGCUCCUAAAUCCAGCAAGGUAUUUCUAAUCAGAGUAUUACCUAUCUUGCAUGGGACAGUAAACCUACCUGGAUCCCCACACUUUGGUGGUAGCUUUCUUUGGAGAACUGCUGACACAUUCUCCCCAACAAUAACUCUUUCAUCUCCCCUCAGCCUCCUUCGAUUGACACAUAGGUCCCUCAGAAAUUUUGCAUACUUCGGCACUUGCUUGAUGGCGUCUAGUAGGGGGAUAUUGAUUUCUACCUUGCGAAACACCUCCAGGAUCUCUUUCUCCUUGUCCUGCUUCUUCGAUUUUUUCAACCUGCAAGGAAAUGGAGGGGGAUUAGUUUUAACUGUAAUUACUGGGUCUGGAAGUACCUUUAGAUCUGCACCAUUGCUGUCCUCCCUCUCAAGUUCAUUUUCGAUCUUUUCCUCAUCCUUAUCCUUAGGGAUCAUAGGUUCAGGCCCCUGAAUUUCCUUCACGCUCCUUAAAGUCAUUGCGCUUACGUUCUUCAGGUUCAGUUCAGGUUGGGAUGGCAAUCUUCCAUUUACUUGGGACUCCAAACGGUUGAUUGUUGUGGCCAUUUUACUUAUCUGACUCCUUAUAUCCUGCAUUUCGGAGUCCGUCCUUUGCUGAUUUUGCAUAAUGGUUGCCUCCGUCCUUUGCUGAUUUUACGCCAUGGUUGUCAUCAUUUGUUUCAUCAUCUCCUCCAAAGAUGGACCAGAGCUUGGGGGCGGAGGUGGUCGGGGUUGGUAUUGUUGCUGGUACCCUGGUGGCUUAUUUGGCACAAAGUUAGACUGCCUGUUCGGUGUAAAGUUGGGUUGCCUAUUCCCUCCAUAACUGAGGUUGGGAUGAUCUCUCCACCCGGGGUUGUAGGUGCUUGAGUAAGGGUCGUACUGCUUCCUUGGCGCGGGCGCGUGAUCAGCCAUGUUCACAUGUUCUGCAGUUUCUUCCUGAAUCAUUGGGCACAUAUCUGCAGAGUGACCUAUACCAGUGCAAAUCCCGCAUACCCUGGCUUGUGAUGCAUUUCUCACAGCCUGUUGCCUAACAAACGCGGUCAACUCAGUUAGCUGCUGCUGCAUGGAGGGUGUCUCUACCUCAUUCACCCUGCGUAUUGGAACAUCCUCUCUCGUACCGAAUUGUUGUGAAUUCUCUGCCAUCCCCUCUAUUAACUCCCGUGCUUCCUGAGGGGUUUUGUUCACCAGUGCCCCUCCACUUGCAGCAUCAAUUAUGCUCAUGUCUCUAAAAAGGAGCCCCUCAUAAAAAUACUAUAUGAGCAACUGCUCACUUAUUUGGUGUUGGGGGCACAUUCUGCACAACUUCUUGAACCGUUCCCAAUACUCAUAGAGUGACUCCCCUGGGUGCUGCUUGAUCCCGCAAAUUUCUUUCCUUAGACUCGCAGCCCUGGAUACAGGAAAAUAUUUAUCUAAAAAUUUUUUCUUUAAUUGGUCCCACGUGGUGAUGCUACCUGGUGACAGGUAGUACAGCCAAUCCUUCGCAGAAUCUUUCAAGGAGAAGGGAAAUGCCCUCAUUUUUAUCUGCUCUUCUGUAAUGUCCGGGGGCUUCAUACUGUUGCACACGACAUCAAACUCCUGCAGAUGCUUAUACGGCUCCUCACCUGGUAAACCAUGAAAAGAGGGUAAAAGAGAAAUCAGGCCAGAUUUUAACUCAAAUGAAGUGUUUUCACUCAAACUCGGGAAAGUAAUGCACAAAGGCUGCUGAUUUAAAUUAGGGGCAGCCAACUCCCUUAAUGCUUGUGCAUUAGCCAUGGGGAUUUCUUCUUGCUCCGAGUCACUCGAAGUGUUACCAAAUGAAUCUGUUGGUUCAACUCCUGACUCAGGUCUCUGAGAUGUAGCACUGGAGUGCUUCUCUCUGAGCUGUCUGGUUUCCUUUCUCGUUCUACGCGCGGUCUUCUCUACUUCAGAGUCAAAAAUCAAAUCACCUGUACGAGAAGACCGAGGCAUACACUAGAAAAAUACCAGAAAAUUAGAACAAAAAUGAAUUUAAAAAGAAACAAAUUAUAACGCCAGUCCCCGGCAACGGCGCCAAAAAUUGACAGGUGCCGAACCUGUGCAAUAAUAAUAAUAAAUAUAGAACCUAUCUACCACUAAAAGCAGUCAAUAAUUAAUCCUAAGUACUGGAGCAGGGACUCUAGGUGUGCAAUGGGUUACUUGAUUCACCCUGUUCCCGAAGAGUUUGCUUAACCCGAUAUACCAGAAUUAAUUAGUUGGCAGAAAUUACUGAAUAGUAGACAGUGGCAAGUAGGGUCGUCUCCUCAGGGACUGGAGAUAUCUGUCUCUUUUAAAAUCCAAUUGAUUAGGGGGGAUUUCACCGGAAUGAAACUAAAAACAAUUAAACAAUUUUGACUAAAAUGAAUAAAUAACUAGCACAAGUAUAGCAGGAAUUUAAUCAGGAAUAAAUAAAUUCUAGUCAAGGAUACAACUACUCAGGCGCAGUUCAAUCAUCCGAUCAUUGAUGCAAGAGAUGUUCACUUAAUGUAUUAAUAGGCUAGUUAUAGUCUGACGACCAAUUUUUCCUUAAAUUAUUGAUAACCAAGGUACGACCGUUGAUUACCCCUAAUCAGCAAAUACUCCUAGGUACGACCAUAGGAAGUAAUUUUCCAAUUGCAUUAAUAACUAGAAAAACCUAGCCCUAAUCAAUAACACGCUACGAGGGUUAUUUAAAUUAGAUCGCAUGUUCCCCUAAUGUGUAAACACACCAGUUGCCACUAAUAUUAAUCAAUCAAACAAUUACGGAUUUAAUUGACUAAAUUAGCACGAGAUUAAUAAAUCACAUUGAACAUCGGGCCCUUGACAUCCAAUUAAUAAAAUAAUCCCAUGAAAAUUCAAGCACACAACGUGCAAAUAUUAAUAAAUAAAGGAACACGUGAAAACUAAUUAGAUCUCACAGAUUUUCGGGACUGCGCCGUCGAGUUGACCCUUGACUAGAUGGAAGGCUUAGCCACGCCGCAUAAUUAAAUCACCACACGAAUUAAUAAAUUGCAAAGGCAUUGCGUUUUCUAUUAGGAAGUAAGGAAUAAAAGGUGUUUUUCCCGUUGGGGAAUAUUGUCGAACACCUGGCGUGUGUCAGAGGCCAGUCAGGAGAAGAAAAGAAAAACUAAAGACUAGGCUAAAAACUAAACUAAAAGAUAAACUAAAACUAGAGAUGUCUUCCUUCCUACGUUAUCCCUAUUUAAGAGACAAAAGAAAGAUAGACUAAAGCUAUCUAGGUGGUCCCCACACAUGUGGACAAAGCCUCCAAAGUACUUCUUCUCCCAAGUCUCUUUUCCAUAGCUUUCUUUGAAAAGCCCAAAUGACUUAUAGCUUUGUGGUCCCCACCAAUCCAAGGGCCCAAGGAUUGAAGCCCUUAGAAGUCUCCAUAUUCUCCAUAAAGUCCCUCCUUUUUGGUAGUUUUCUGCUUCAUUCCUGAAAUUAAGUCCAGAUACCAAAUAUGAGUAAAUAUCAGCAAUUAACACAAUAUUUAUCAGGGAUAAAAGGGGAAAUAAAUAAUAAAAUUACUAACAAAUUAUACCCUAUCAGAACUCAAAGAUACUUAGUUUAUAUAUAUAUAAUUUGAGUAAAUUUUAUAUACACUGAUAAUAUAUACACUAUCAUCGUUGGAUUCAUGACAUGUGUGCAAAAGUUGAAUUUCAAAUUCAAAUUUUGCACAAUUGUCAUUCAUUCAAUGCUAUAGUAUAUACAUUGUUAGUAUAGAAAAGAUUAAUCCAUAUAAUUUUUAUUUAAUAGUGAAAUUAUAUAUAUAACCUAAAUUUUAUUAUUUGUUAAGAAAAAUUACUAUUUUAUUCUUUUUUAAAAAUAAAAUAAUUAUUUUUUAUUUUUUAAACUCGAGUUCGAACUCAAAUUUUACAUUGAAAGCUCAUCGAACUCAAACGAGAGCUCAAGUUUUAAAUUUGGUAAAAUUGAAUUGAAACUCGACUCAAUUAAGUCAAAAUUUGAUUUGACUCAACUUGGUUGCAUUCUUAUUUGAAAGGUGCACGAGUUUUUAGGAGGUAUCAUUUUGGUAUUAGAAUUUCCUGAAAAUGCAAUCUUUAAAUUUACUUCAAAUACUUUCCACUUUAACCCUUUUUUUUUUUUUACUAUUAUAAGUGUAAAUGAGUCUAAUCAAAUCGAACAUCCUAAUAUUCAAGUUUAAUUAUUUUAAUGAGUUUGAAAUUUUCAAAUUUAAUUUAUUUAUUUGUUGAAUCAAACUUAAACGAAUCUUUUAUUGAAUUUGAAAUUUAUCGAGCUCUUCAAUGACUUGUUGGCGAACCAAAUUAGAAUGAACUCUCGUCAAAUCAAAUUGAGUAUGAUUCUUGUAUUGAGUUUUUGAUUAUUUUUCAACCCUAUUUACUAUCCUUUGUCAUCUUGGGGAGCAAAAAAACUAUAAAUUUAUUCCUUUCUUGGUGAUCCAAUAACCCGUUUUAUCCUCCUCUGGCUUUUCUUUUCCUUUCUUUUCUGACUCCAAUCCAAGGGCCCAAAUUCACUCGCAUCCGAUCAACGGUCAAAUUUCAUCCUCCACCUUUCCCAGAAGUGGUAUCAUCUCCCAAAGCAUCUUCUCAGUCGAUAUUCCUCUCAGAUUCCCCCCAGUCCCGGGUGCCCGUGUUUCGCUUUUCCCAACAAUCCAUCCCGGCCCCCUCUUUCCCUCUCCUUCUUUCGCUUUCUCGCACCUUGAUCGGAGACGGAAACUAUGGAGAGUAAACCCCAGAAGCCAAUUCCCAUGAAUGACCCCCCGACGGACCGCCCUGUUCGUGUUUACGCAGAUGGAAUUUAUGAUCUCUUCCACUUCGGCCACGCUCGCUCCCUUGAACAAGCUAAAAAAUCGUAAUGAUUUCUUAUUUUUCUAAUCUAUUUGCUUUUAAAUUUGAGAAUUUUUUUUUGGAGCGGGUGACUUAGUUCUUCUUUAUUUUUUAAUUUUUUUGGGUGAUCUUUGGGCAGUAUGGGAUGUGGUUUGGGUUAUUUUGGUAGCUUGUCAUCUCAAGCGUUUUGAUAAAAUGUGUCUAUGAGAUUUGGUUGAUUUAAAGUUAGAAUUGAUAGUGCAAUGUUGGCCUGCUUUCUUAUGUAGGGGAAUAUUGGUAGUGGGGAUUGUAUUUUCUUCCUAUGAGGUUGAUCCGUGUAAUACGAUGCCCAUAUGAUUCUAGAAUUGUGGAAAAGGAUGAUAAAGAAACCAUCUUGAAGGAGGCAGCGUUGGAGCUGAUUUCAUACCAUGUACAUGUGCCGUUGUUUGCCUUGAAAAAGCGUGGAUUAGUAAGAUAUUGACCACAAUUAGAGCGUUAAGGAACUUAAAAUUAGAGUUGUUAGGAUCAGCCGUGGUAUUGGGACAGACUGCUUUUUGUUCAUGUAAAGCUUAUGAAAACCAGGGUAGCAUUCUAGUUAUUCUAUCUAUCAUUUUCUUCCUGAAUGUUGUAUAUAUUCUCGAAUAUUUGACUGCAAUAUUUCCUUGGCAGUGUUAUAAUUAUGUUGAAUUGUGGAUAUCAUGAUUAAUUGCCUUUUUUGUCACUCCUUUUGGUAAUUGUGAUUAUGAUUGAUUAUUUUCUAUCCAGGUUUCCCAACACCUAUCUACUUGUAGGAUGUUGCAAUGAUGAAGUCACCCACAAAUAUAAGGGUAAAACAGUUAUGACUGAUGCGGAGCGAUAUGAAUCUCUCCGGCAUUGCAGGUUGAUGUGAAGUAAUUUCUGUUAUUUAAGCUCUCUAUAUGAAUGGUGGUUUGAUUCAUUAUGUAAAUCCUAAUAGACGAGGAAGUGGUUUGAUUCAUUAAUUAAAUACUAAUAGAUGAGCAAAGGGGAUGUUGAACGAGGAGCCAGUGCAUUUUCUUUUGAGGCUAGUUUUACAUCUCCUUUUAUCUAGGCAUUUAUUUAUGCAUUAGGUACUUUUCUCUUGUGUAGCUAUUUUCUUCAGAUGACUUAUGGACUUUUGAAGCAGUGAAUAUUACCACCUCAAGGAUAAAUACUUCAAUUAAACUUUAGUAUAGUCUUCCUUCCUUCCUUUUAUUUUUUAAACAUUUUUUAAUUCUUUUACUUUUUAUACAUUGGAAGGUAAAGGGUAUGCAAAAAGACAAGAACUUGAGUGCUGUUAUUUGUUUCUUUCAUUAGAACUUCAUUUGCAAUUGCCUCUUGCUUGUUUUGUUUGCUGCAUCCUCUUUAUGCUCGAGGAUACGGUUGCAACUAUGAAAAAUUUUGUUCUGCUUUGUUGUCCAGACAAACUUCUAGGUCUUUCGACUUCCUCAGAACAGACAGCCAAAGAAGUCAAAUGAGUGAGAAAGAGAUAGAGUACCUUGAUAUGCACCAGUUCUUAUAGGAGAGAGUAGACCUCUGAUUAAGUUCAAGCAGUCAUUUUUUAUUUAUGAUGGGGUAGCAGAACGAUAUUCUUUCCUUUGACCAUCCAGCAUUGUUGGGAUAACACUUUUAUUCUGCAUUGUGAACAGAAGCUUCCCUUACUAAGAAAGAAGGAAGCAUCUGUUCCCACGUUAGUUUCACCAUUGUCCCCUUCAAAUUCUAUUUUUGAAGUAUCAGAUUUAUUUGCUGGAAGUCACAGCUUCAAAGGGGUUGACCACUGAGAUUUUUUCAAAUAGGGCUUUAGUUGGGAACCUUAUCAAAUGUGUGUCUUGGAGCUUUUGCCUUGUAGCUAAAGUUAUAGAGAUAGAGAAUUCUUGGUGCUUUAGUAAGCUAGAUUGAUAGUUAAAAUCAAAAUUUCUGUUAUAUCCUGUUGUCCUGUACUGUUGCAUUUUCAGUGCAAGCUUGUGUUUAUUUGUCUAUUCUUUCUAACUUCUUGUUCCUUAUAGGUGGGUUGAUGAAGUUAUUCCAGAUGCCCCUUGGGUGACUACACAGGAAUUCCUUGAUAAACAUCAGAUCGACUUUGUGGCACAUGACUCUCUUCCGUAAGGUUUACAAACCCAAGAACUGUUUAUUAUGCUUGCCUCUAUUGGCCUUUUGGCGUAGAUGAAGUCUUCUUCAAACCUUCAAAGUGUAGGUUGUAUAAAAUCUGUUAAACAUGGUUACAGGAUAACCAUGAUAUAUAAAGACCCAGCAUGGUUUCUGUGAAACUAAAAAGGAUGUACAUUUGUGAAAUAAUGUGGCUAGACUAUAAGGCACAUAGUUCAUGUCCUCUGCUGCUACCUCUUGAACCAAGUAUGAAAAAAAAAAAGAAAGGAAAAAGAUAAGAACUUAGAAAAUCUCUGCAGUACCAUACUUUUUUGCUUGGUUUCUUUUUCUUGUAUACUUGUAUGUUGAUAUUCUCUCUUAAUGUCAGUUAUGCUGAUGCAAGUGGGGCUGCCAAUGAUGUCUAUGAAUUUGUAAGUGCAAAUUGUCAUUACCAUGCAGGCUAGUGCUUUUAAUUAUUGUGGCUGCUAUUAUUGCUUCUAUCUUUAUUACUUUGUUCUCUUGUUUGAUUAAUACCUAUUUGGCUGCUAUAUGUUUGGUUUCUGUUACUUUUCUAGACAAUUUGUUUGCCUGCUCGUUGUUUCUCUUCUAACUUAUCCUCUAAUUGGCUUUUUCCUUUCAAGCUGCUUAACUGCUAUGUCAGUCUUAAAUCCUCUCGUGCUGCCUAGAUGACUGUUUUGAUAUGAAAAUCAUAUGUCAAAAUCUUAUUUUAGGUUAAGGCUGCUGGAAAGUUUAAAGAGACAAAGCGAACAGAAGGAAUCUCAACAUCAGAUCUUAUAAUGAGGAUAGUGAAAGAUUAUAACGAAUAUGUGAUGCGGAACUUGGACCGGGGUUACUCAAGAAAGGAACUGGGUGUGAGCUAUGUCAAGGUAGAGUUACACGUCUUGGCUGAUUAGUUGAACGUCUACAAUGUCCAUUACCAUCUCUCUCGUUGGGAUGCGUAUUGAGUGCUUUCUCAUUUUAAUUGAAGGAAAAAAGAUUGAGGGUGAAUAGGGGGUUAAGAAAGUUGCAGGAGAAAGUGAAGAAGCAACAAGAGAAAGUGGAAGAGAAGGUAUGCAAGUCUUGUUGCCAUAUUGAUGUUAUCUUUAACAUAUAGUGUAAUGUAGUGAAGAUGAAUCAUGAUAUGUUGUAUCUGGCCAUAAUAACCAUUCUAUUUCAUCAGAAUAAGAAAAUAGUAGCCUAACAUAUUCAUUGGUUGCAAAUUUGCAAUUUUAUGUUUUAAUGAUCUAUAUGAAUUUGGAAGUGCAAUUUCAGUCGGUUAUAUUUUUGUUCACUUUGGAGCUCAAAUAAAUUAGGCGCUGCAAAUUUGGACUUGUGACAUUUAACUUCUACAGUGUGGAACCAUGAGAAGGGAGAUUGGAAUUUUGCUAUGUGAUAGUGGCCCUCCGAAUUAUGAACUAAUGUUCUAGAAUUUGUUUAAAAAAACUUUCUACACUAGUGAAUCAUCAGAAGAGGGAAAAGAAGAUGACGAAAAUGAAUUUGUGCCAGGCCAUUGACUUUCAAAGAAAGUAUGAAGAUGUCUGCAUAACAGAAAAGUACUGUUGUGGAUUUUGCUGAUAAAAAUUAAGCUGGCAUAUGAUAGUUUUAAUGGAACAGCAGAUCAUAUAAUGGUAGAACUGCCUCUAAUGUCUUUGGAGUGUUAACAGGAACCUUUUGGUGAGCUCUAGGCAAAGAGAGCAAGCCCUCUGGUAAUAUUGACAGUUUGGCAGCAUUAUAAUGCCAAGAAAAUACACUGUAAUUGGUGAAUCUAAGUCUACAUCAGUAAGAUCUUCAUUGAGGAGUUAUAUGCUUGGAUUUCUCACAUGGCGUGUGAUUCCCUUGCAUAAUUUUUUUCCUCUCAAUAAAUUAAGUAAUAUUGAACAUUGCCCAUGCUUGAUACAAUUGACAAGCUUGAGUUAUAUCACGGACUUAAAUUUAUUGGUAGUCAAUAUCUGUUUUGAAACACUACAGUUUUUCAAAUUAAUCUGUCAUUUUUUAGUUCAAACCAUGAUUACUAGGAAUUUUUGUGAUCAACUGUCAAUUCUUUGUUGUGUUGCGCAGCAUUACUGAGCUUUGUAAGUUUUGUGUUUCUGAGGAGGCUCCAUCUCCAUGUGGAAUGCUUUCAGCUUUUUCCUGUACAACGAGUGUUCCCCCCCCCCCCCCCCAAAACACCAAACUCUUUUUCCAGCUAUAUUUGAAUUACUGUAAUUCUUUUCUCUGUGAAUCUUCAGAUGCAAACAGUGGCAAAACAUCGUAACAUAUGGGUGGACAAUGCUGAUCGAUUGGUUGCUGGGUUUCUUGAGAUGUUUGAAGAAGGUUGCCAUAGAAUGGUAAUUAUGUCAUUGUCAUUUUUUGUAUCAUGAAGAUCUAAGAAAAAAUUUGUUGAUAGAGUACAAUUUUUAAGCUUGUGCCCUCUGUAUAGGAAGUGUGUGGUAGGAAAGGGUAGACAGGACUUAAUAACAUGCUACACUUUUGAUUACUGAAAUAAGUGUCAGAUUUGCUUCUGGGAUUAGACUUUAUUUGGACAUUUCUCCAGGGAACUGCCAUCAGAGACCGGAUUCAAGAACAAAUAAGGACAAAGAAUAUACGGGGACUGAUAUACGAUAAAGAAGAUGAAGAUGACUACGAGGAGGAUGAUGGGUAUUAUUACGAUGGCAGUACGGAUGAUGAAUACUAUGAUGAUGAGGGUGAGGAAUGACCUCCUCAUCAUCCGAUGUUUAGUUCGAAAAGGUGGCUGUCAUAUUCAGCUGCAACACAUGGAGUGUGGUCUGGAUCAAGACUUAUAAGUGUUUUUCUGCUUGCCUGUUUCAAAAAAUGUCUACCCCACAUGCAUCAGUUUUGAUGUGUCCUUGUGCAUCAGAAAGUGCUGUUUGUAUUUUUUGGGCUUCAUUUAGGUAUGUUUUGGAAAGUGUUCUUUGUAAUUUGUAGAAAAUAGCGCUGAUUAUUAUUCUUAACAGAACUCUUAGAAACUUAAAAAGUGUAAAACAGUUUUGGAAAUUAUAGAUAUUUAACGUGGAUGUUUGCUUGUUUCUACAAAUGCUUUAUUUAGUUGCCAGCCCCCCGUCCUCCCCCGGUUUUUGUACUUCUUGGUAUGCAUGGAUUGGAAUUUUUAUUGCGACAGAGUAACCGAAGGAUUGAACUAUUGCAUGUUCUUCAUAUUAACCUAUUGGAGAUUGAUUGGUAUGUCCAAUUCGAUGAAUUCUAUCAGCUGCAAAUAAUUUUCUCCUGUUGCUCUUUUGCUUCGGAUUUAGCUAGGAUUGGUUGAUGGUUAAUUUUUGGGGUAAAAAAAAAACAUGACAUGAUCCUUAAUAGGAAGUUGUAAGGCUAUAAAAAUUGUAAACUACCCGUUUAAACUAUUACCUCAGUUAAAAGGUGGCUGUAUUCUUGGUUAAUUGAUGUAUUACUAAAACCGUUUAUAGGCUGAGCACUCAAUAGAUGGAAAUGGUAUUUCAUCUAAACAUGAAACUUUUAGUUGCACAAUCUGGCCGCCAACAUUUCACGAUAGAGAAUUAAUCUGCAGUUCUGCAAGAAACACUGAAAUUAAUAUCUGAAACCAGAAUUUCAAUUUGCUAAAUGCGGUUAAGAGUUUCGCUACAUAUAUUCUCGAGCAUGAAAACCAGCUUAAAGCAAAAUGAAAUCAAUUUUUCUAAAGAUCUCAAACAAAAAUCUAGCAGAUUACUUUAAAGCCAACCAAAAUCUGCAUGAUCAGAAUUUCGGUUUUCUUUAAGAGGUAAGAAUUACAGUAGAUAUAAUCUAGAGGACCAACAAAACCAACUUAAGCAAAUUGAAUUCACGUUUCCAAAGAUAUCAAGCACUAAUUGAUAGUUGAGUAUCCAGAUUGAGCAAAACAUUCCAUUGCAUGGAGGUUGAAUUAAGAAACACAUCAUCUCACAAAUGAAUCGAGAGAAGAAUAAGUUACUGAAAUUUGUUUAUCUUACAAGUUCGGGGAGUAAUACAACAGAAUCCACAAUCAUACUCUUAUCAUCUCAAAUAUGAACUACUAAUAAGCACUUUGAUGUCCCCAGUUGCUUCCCUGAUUCUUUUUGCAGACUCUUCCGCAGAUUGUCUGCACCAGUGCACUUCAAUCAAUUCCAGUGUGCCUAUGUCUGCAAAAUCAUACGGGAUUUCCUUGAGGUCUUUGCAAUUUUGCAAGACAAGCCGUUCAAGUUUGGGAAGGUGAUCACAAGUAGCAUUCCAUUGAGAAACGUUCAGAUUGUCUAACUUCAAGAAUUUGAGUUCCUUGAACUGAUCUUCCUCCAUGUCCCAUGUCAGCCCCUCAAAGGCAUCAAGAAGUAAUUUGAGAACUUCCAGGUUGGGUAGUCUCCCAAUUGUUGAGAUAUGACUCCAUGGUAGACGAAACUUUGAAAGAGUCAAUUUCCUCAGAUUGGAAGGGAGAAUGAAUUCCCUGGUAAUAGCGCUUCCAUAGUAAGAUACAUUGAGUGACACCAAAUGAGUUAGAAAAUCUAAUCCUGGAAACUGAUAGGAAUUCUUCGAAGAACCCUGUGGAUGAAAGAAUAUGCAUCUCAGUUUCUGGAGAUUUGGCAACCUCUUUAUUAUUGAUUCUGUAUCUUCACCACAAGAGAGAGAGAGACAGGAAAGGCUGACCAAAUCACCCAACUUACAGCAGACUUCAAGCCCUUCAUCAUCCAAUGUGAAAGCAACAUGCAUAUUCACAUGAAGAUGCCUCAACCUUGUCAUGUGCCAAAUAGUAUCUGGUAAGACAACCUGACCACGUAAUCCCUUCAAAACAAAAGUUUCUAGUUUUCGGAGAUUGCCUAUGGAUUGUGGAAUAGUUUGCAUAUAACCAGUGAUUGCCAAAUACCUCAAAUGAACCAGGCAUGUAAUGUCAGCAGGGAAGGUGACACCCAGGUUGAUGCAUUCAAAAUCUAACACCCGCAGAAGUUUGAAGUUGUGCCAAAUGAAUGAGAUGUCAUAAGGACAUCUGGGCUCUGAAUCAGCUGAAGGAAAGAAUAUCAAAGAACGAGUACCCAGGCCAAAAGGUCUUGAUUUAAAAAAAUGGAGUCGCUUCAAAAAAAAGCACAAUCGGUAGGCUUCAUAUGUGACAGGAUCAGAAUGAUGGCCAAUUUCAAAACCAAAAUCUGAACUAGGAAAAGAUACAUAUGGCUCAUCAAACCUGGUUACUAGCCGGAAGAAGUUCUCUGCUCUGGCUUUUAACUGACAAAAAUCACGCAACAGAUCAUGCAAGCGACAUGAUUUGACCAUUCCGUUGGAUCUUCUUUUGGAGACUUCCACCAGGCUUCUGCUAAUCAACUCCAUCAAGUAACCCUCGGCAAUACCUUCUAAGCUCUUCAACUCAGAGUCAUGAAUGAAACCUUCAGCAAGCCAAAACCGUAUCAACUUGCUAACAGGAAUAUCCUUGUCUUCAAGGAAAACUCCCAAAUAAAGAAAGCACGGUUUUAGAUAUCCCGGCAAGUGUUUGUAACUCAAUUCAAAGAUUUCCAUGCACCGAGCUUUUGGAUCUUCUAUAACUUCAGCAAUCAAGCCUUUUGCAAUUUUCCCCCAUGAUGCUCUGCUCUUUUCUAUCUUUUGGAGGAGACCAGAUAUUGCAACAACAGCAAGAGGCAAUCCUUUACACUUUUUGGCAAUUUCCUUUCCAACAAGCAACAAUUCUUCGGGACAACCUUCACCAUGGAAUACUUUCUCUACUAAUAAGUUCCAGCUUUCAUCAUCAGAAAAUAAGCGUAGAGAAUGAGGAUCACUAUCUGGUUCAAUUUGCAAGGCCACAUCACGAAGGCGGCUGGUAAUCAAAAUUCUGCUUCCAUUGGCAUCAUCUGGGAAUGCAUUUCUUAACUCAUUCCAAACUCCAGCAUCCCACACGUCAUCCAUAACAAUGAGAAACCUGUUUCUCAGUAAGCACUGACGCAAUUUUAAUUGGAGAUCUUCGUUAGUCAUUUGACGAAUUUCAUCCGUAAGCCCGAGAAUGCCACGUAAAAUCUCCAGCAGCAGGUCUCUUUUGUCAUAUCCUUGUGAAACAGUACACCAUGCACGACAAUGAAAGUGAGACAAAACCUUUUGGCAGUUAAACAGUUUCCAAGCCAUUGUUGUCUUGCCAAUACCGGGCAUUCCCACAAGAGAAACAAUACCAAACUUUGAGGAUCCCUUGACAAGUUGAUCAGUUAUAGAUUGUUCUUCAUCUCUGGGAUCCACCACCAUUCCAUUGAUUGCUGGUGUAGCAUCCCGUGAUAUCACGUUGGGUGGAACCUGGAUGACGUGUUUGUUAUCUAGGACUUUGGCUUGAGGGGUCGUCAACUGAAUUCUAGAGGCUCGCUUAUUAACAAUUCUUAACUCCUCUAGUAGAUCAUAAACCAAAAAGAAACCUUGCCAUUGAGGAUCGACCUCAAUUGAGUCAAUGACAAACUCAAUUUUGUAAGCAAUAUUGGCAACAUGACCACCAAGAACUUUCACUUCUGGAUUGUUAUCAAUAUCCGACUCUGAGACUUUCAUGAGAAAAGAACCCAAAGACUUGAAAUGUAGAUGAAUUUCUUUUAUGUAAUUCCUGACUGGUUCAAUUGACGCAGGAUCAUAGUUCAGCAGUUCCUCCAGGCUUCCGAUGAGAAAUUCAACGAACCCUGGCUUGUCAGUCUUUGGAAAAUCAGACAAUGGAAAUGGGGGACUAACCACUCUGAGCGUAGACUUGAUAGGAUUCAGCUUAUCUUGCAGUCUAGAAGAUGAGAUGAUCAUAUUGUGGAUGGGUCCUGCCAUCCCUGCAUCAGAAGUUUCAGUUUGUGGGAAGAUCGUGUCCAUGUCCUUUGUCUCCUCCUUUAGCUGGUUGCAGAGAAGUGUGAAAAGAUUAAGGAGCACAAGAAGUGCAAUUUGAUCUUUUCGAUAAGCCUCGGAAUUUGCAGCACUACUCCUCUCCAGUUGUAACUUCUCAAAUAAUGCUUCUGCUUUGAAAACAACAAUGUUAAGAAGCAAUAGGAGAAUUGAGUUUCUCACCGUGGAUUCUGUGAUCUUCUUGGCCUCAAACAACUGAUGGAGAGAUGCUACCUUGUAGUCCACUUGUUUAAUGAGAGCCAAUGCCUUAUUCCCAUAUUCUGCCUCCCAAUGCGUAAGAUUUUCCAGAAAACGUAUCAAUUUUUUAGGCAUCCAUUGGACAUCACCUUUAACAUGAUUGAGCAGAUCUUUAGUUCGGAAAGUGCUCCCUUGAUUGUUACAGAAAAGCAUUCCCUUGAGGAAAAGCUCCGUCUGAAGAAGAAAAACAUUUAUACGUAGCUCAGAAUGGCCAUGGAUAUGUUGCUCGCCCUUUCGUUCCGUCUGUAAGAGGAAUUCCAGCUCUAUGAGCACCGUAUGAAUUUCUGCAAGGAAAAUUUGUAUAGUCUGAUCCUCUUCCUCCCCCUCCUCCUGUUGCUUCAGUUUGGUGAAGGCUAAAAGCUUUAACAGCCCAUAGAUCUCUCGAGAACAGAUCUCUCGAGUAUCUCUGAUCCUCACUUCAGUGGCAACAUAAUUGCUAUAAUGAGAGGAAAAAUCGGGCUUAACUCCUCCAAUUUUAUGGAGAGCCACAAGGAAAUGAAAAUGGAACUCCAUGAAUUUGGGAUUAGUAGGAUGAAUCUCAUGUUGCAAAUCCACUACAGAUUUAGUUAGCUUAAUCAUUUCUACCGUUUUGGUUUUGCCUUCGGUUUUCCCGCAGUGAAUCCGGUACUUAAGACUGUGGAUUGCAAUGCGCACCAUCACAGAUGCAACACGAGUCACGAAAUCAUUGAUAGCAUUUACAUCAUCACCACCUGCAGCAGCUGCUGCUGGGAAGUCGAGAUUCCUGGAUACACCUUCCAUGUAUUCCCCGAACAAUCUUAGCUCUUUGCGCCAGGCACCGAUUGGCUCGCUCCAUUUUGUAUCGUCCACAAUAUCGGCCAGAGUGGUUACAAAUUGUAGCCAAAAAGAAACAUCAGAUGGUGAUUGCAGUCGACACGACGACCACCCGGAUAAAUCCAAAAGGUGUUCAACAUCUUCUCCAAUCUCUUCCAUCCAUUUGAUGGAUUUACUGUAAUAAUCAUAGAGAGUUUUGCCAUUUACCGGGGAAAGCUUCAUCUGGGCGUUGUUCUUGUUUAUAAUUACAACAUGCCAACCAAUCUCCUCGGCUGCAGCUUCAAUCUUGACUCCCAUAUUAAGCAGCACGCGCUCUGCAUCUUCGUCUCUCAUCAGCUUGUGAAUUGCUUCCGAAAUUAACCUCAAAAGCUUCCAAUCUCCCAAGAUGCGAUCGCGUUGACGCCAGCGUACGCGGUGACUUUUGUUUCCACGCGCAACUGCAUCGAUAAAUUUGCUACUUCCCCGUACAGCAUCCAAGAAAAAAACUAUGAUAUCAAAGCUGGAAAUAGCCAUCUCCAGGUCCAGAAUUUUGAUCUCUUACUCAAGCAUACCAGUUCUGUCUGUCAGACUGAUCUGCAUAAACACAAAUGCUUUUGAUGUAUGUAUUAGGUGAAUAGGUGAUAUCGAGUGGAGGUGAUAUCGAGUGGAGUCGAGUGGAGUGCUCAAUUAUUGAAACAAAUAAACCUAAAAUAGUAAUUAAUUAUUGUAACAAAUAAACUUGAAAUUAUAAUUUGGAUAAUAUUAUUAUAAUAAAUUAAUAUUUAAUAUAAAACUUGAGUGGAGUGCUUGAUUGAUAAAGUUCGAACUCGAGUUGUUAGAGUUCAAAAAUUUUUGGAAAUAAUAGUAUAAUAAUUAAAUAUUUAAUUAUUAUAACAAAUAAAUUUAAAAUUAUAAAUUGAAUAAUAAUAAUAAUAUUUAAUUGAAUACUCGACAGAACUCGUCGAGCUCUUAAGUUUUUUUAAUAGCACCCGAACUUGACUCGAAAAUUCAAUUAAGUAACUUGAACUCGAUCAAUAUCGAGUUCAAUAAAGUAAUUAAACUGAACUGCUAGCGAAUUCGAGUCAAGCUGCUCAAUUAAAUCUCACCCUUAUCCCCAAUGGACCAGGGCCUCACAAUUUGAGGCAAUAUCCACUUCGGACACAUCCGGUCAAGAUCAAAUUGUGAUAAUGAGACAGCCACGAUUUAGUGGGUCGACAGCGCAGUAUCAAUUCGCAUGGGGAAAGAAAAAUCAAAAUUGAGGACUAAUGAAAAGACUAGAACUCAUUGUCCUCUCAUCAGAGAUAGAGGAGAAGAAUCAACGAUGAAGACUACUCAUUUCUGAGAAAUUUCUAACGAAAUCCAACAUAGGGAGAUAAAGUCUCAGACUCUUCAACUUUUUGGGAAGUGAAAUUUUGCAGCCCUACAAGUUCGAGAUUUAUUGAGGCUUUGCUUGUUGGUUCAUAAUUUAACAAAAAAAAAAACAAAAAGUUCUCAUAUCAUCAAAGUAUCAAGUAUGUUCUUGGGUUUUCAGAAUAUUCAUGGAUAUUGGAAAUUUUUUUCUUCGUUUAUUGUAAUUACAAGGGGACACAAAAGGCAUUUGGUUUUUUCCAUUCUUGUGAAGAAAUUCUCGAUAUUUAAUGACUGCUAUAAGAAGAAAAUUAGCAAAAAUGCUAACUCUCUAAUUAUCCAAAUCGAAUGGUAGAUUAGGGCUAUUAUAAUUUCUUGAUUGGCAUUGUUUGAGUUGGUCUUGUUAAAGAAGAAUUUAGAAAUCGUCAUGCCAGUGGUAUGUAUAAGAGUACGUAAAAACACCCUAAAGAAACUUGCCCCUUUUGAUUAUUUACACCAGUAGUCACAACUUUAAGUGCUGGCCAAUCUUGUUACUCUACAACCAUUUGUUGGACAAUGGACAUUGGUUAAUAAAUGGGCCUAAUGCAUAUGCAAACAAACUUAUUAAAGAAGACACACUUGCAAGCUAGAGUUGGCUUGAUAUUAUGCAGGCAUGAUCAAGGAUUCUUAAUUAGGUUCGACAAUUUUGCAAUAAAUUGGGUAAAAUAUCAAAAAACCUCUUGUGAUUUGCCGAGUGUUUAACUUAACUCCUUAUCGUUCGGAAACUUACAUUCUAAGCUCUCAUGGUUUUAACUAAAUUGGAAGGUGGAUAGAAACUGACUAAACUAAUGGUUGCAUCUAAAAUGUCAAAAUUGUCCUUUAUAAAUAAUAAGAUUUAAUGCAAAAAACUAUUUAUGAUCUGUCGAAUGUUCAACAUAACUUUUUAUGAUUUGGAAAUCUAUAUUCUAGCCUCUCGUGGGUUUAACUAAAUUGAAUUCAUUAUAUUAGCCUUCUUCUACUUCAUUCAAACAUUCUUGCUACAGCCAUUUCCCUUACUGGAAGAAUGUAGUUACUAAAGGAAUCAUUAAAAUUGUUUAUCGCGAGAAGCAAGGCUGUAGUUUCCGAAGCACAGAGAGUUAAGAAUACAUAUUAAAGAACUUAUUGAAAUUGUUUAUUACAGGGAGUUAGAAUGUAAGUUCUGAAGUUGUUAAAGCACUCAUUGAGAUUGAUUACUACGAAAGGCUAGAAUAUAGGUUUAUGAAGCAUAGAGAGCUAAGAAUAUAGAUACCAUGUUCAUCAACUAAGGCAUUGCCAAAAAAAAAAAAAAAUCAUGCAAGGUGCCCUUCCAUUGAUAUGCAGGUAUGACAAGUAAUUUUAGGUUAAGAAUUUUGUUUGUUUAGCUGUCUAUGUUUCAAUUGUAUUGUUGAGUACUUCUCUCACAUUCGUAAUUUGAGCAUUUGCACUCCUUUUAGGUGUGUAAAUAUCAUUUUUUAGUUGGCUUGAAAAGGUCUGAAUGUUUGUCACUCUCUGUUGUUCAUUAAUAUACAUUGAUAGUUCGUUGAACUCAAACUCAAGUUUAAAUUUGAUAAAAUUAGAUCGAAUCUCAGCUCGAUUCGAUUAAAAUUCAACUCGACUCGGUUGUAACUCUACCUAGGAGAGUUGUCCUUUAGAUUUAGUGACACUUUGUGUUUCUUGCUUUUAGGAAUGGCUAGGACAGCUUUUGGUAUUUCUCCAUGAUGCCCAAUUGGUAGAUUGCUUGUCAUACAUGAGGAAUCCAAUCUGCUGCCAGCAAUGCUCUCCAGAUAGCUCAAUUCAGCAGAACCCAUCUAGGAUUCGUUGUGGUUAAUUUUAGAUUGCACAAAUUUUGUUACCUCUAACAAUACAAGCCGAUAUGCUUCAAAAAAAAGUCUGAUAAGAAGACCUUUUUUUGGUGUAGUGAAACACUAUUUGCCAUGAUCCUCGUACAUGUAAGCUAGCCGCUCAAAUAUGAAUAUUAUGCUGAGUACUUCAAAAUUGGAACACUUGCUUCAGCGAAUUAGGUGCUAACUUUUGAGUCAAUGGCUGUCAACAUUUGAAGAUAGAGGGAUUGAAUGCAGUACUUCAAGAAACAAAGAAAUGAAUCUGCAUGAUUAGAAUUUCUGUUUGCUUUAAGAGGUAAGAAUUACAGUAGGUAUAAUCUAGAGGACCAACAAAACCAACUUAAACAAACUGAAUUCACCUUUCCAAAGAUCUCAAGCAAUAAUUGAUUGUUGAGUAUCCAGAUUGAGCAAAACAUUCCAUUGCAUGGAAGUUGAAUUAAGAAACACAUCAUCUUACAAAUGAAUCGAGAGAAGAAUAAGUUACUGAAAUUUGAUUAUCUUACAAGUUCGGGGAGUAAUACAACAGAAUCCACAAUCAUACUCUUAUCAUCUCAAAUAUGAACUACUAAUAAGCACUUUGAUGUCCCCAGUUGCUUCCCUGAUUCUUUUUGCAGACUCUUCCGCAGAUUGUCUGCACCAGUGCACUUCAAUCAAUUCCAGUGUGCCUAUGUCUGCAAAAUCAUACGGGAUUUCCUUGAGGUCUUUGCAAUUUUGCAAGACAAGCCGUUCAAGUUUGGGAAGGUGAUCACAAGUAGCAUUCCAUUGAGAAACGUUCAGAUUGUCUAACUUCAAGAAUUUGAGUUCCUUGAACUGAUCUUCCUCCAUGUCCCAUGUCAGCCCCUCAAAGGCAUCAAGAAGUAAUUUGAGAACUUCCAGGUUGGGUAGUCUCCCAAUUGUUGAGAUAUGACUCCAUGGUAGACGAAACUUUGAAAGAGUCAAUUUCCUCAGAUUGGAAGGGAGAAUGAAUUCCCUGGUAAUAGCGCUUCCAUAGUAAGAUACAUUGAGUGACACCAAAUGAGUUAGAAAAUCUAAUCCUGGAAACUGAUAGGAAUUCUUCGAAGAACCCUGUGGAUGAAAGAAUAUGCAUCUCAGUUUCUGGAGAUUUGGCAACCUCUUUAUUAUUGAUUCUGUAUCUUCACUACAAGAGAGAGAGAGAGACAGGAAAGGCUGACCAAAUCACCCAACUUACAGCAGACUUCAAGCCCUUCAUCAUCCAAUGUGAAAGCAACAUGCAUAUUCACAUGAAGAUGCCUCAACCUUGUCAUGUGCCAAAUAGUAUCUGGUAAGACAACCUGACCACGUAAUCCCUUCAAAACAAAAGUUUCUAGUUUUCGGAGAUUGCCUAUGGAUUGUGGAAUAGUUUGCAUAUAACCAGUGAUUGCCAAAUACCUCAAAUGAACCAGGCAUGUAAUGUCAGCAGGGAAGGUGACACCCAGGUUGAUGCAUUCAAAAUCUAACACCCGCAGAAGUUUGAAGUUGUGCCAAAUGAAUGAGAUGUCAUAAGGACACCUGGGCUCUGAAUCAGCUGAAGGAAAGAAUAUCAAAGAACGAGUACCCAGGCCAAAAGGUCUUGAUUUAAAAAAAUGGAGUCGCUUCAAAAAAAAGCACAAUCGGUAGGCUUCAUAUGUGACAGGAUCAGAAUGAUGGCCAAUUUCAAAACCAAAAUCUGAACUAGGAAAAGAUACAUAUGGCUCAUCAAACCUGGUUACUAGCCGGAAGAAGUUCUGUGCUCUGGCUUUUAACUGACAAAAAUCACGUAACAGAUCGUGCAAGCGACAUGAUUUGACCAUUCCGUUGGAUCUUCUUUUGGAGACUUCCACCAGGCUUCUGCUAAUCAACUCCAUCAAGUAACCCUCGGCAAUACCUUCUAAGCUCUUCAACUCAGAGUCAUGAAUGAAACCUUCAGCAAGCCAAAACCGUAUCAACUUGCUAACAGGAAUAUCCUUGUCUUCAAGGAAAACCCCCAAGUAAAGAAAGCACGGUUUUAGAUAUCCCGGCAAGUGUUUGUAACUCAAUUCUAAGAUUUCCAUGCACCGAGCAUUUGGAUCUUCCAUAACUUCAGCAAUCAAGCUUUUUGCAAUUUUACCCCACGAUUCUGAGCUCUCUUCUAUCCUCUGGAGGAGACCAGAUAUUGCAACAACAGCAAGAGGCAAUCCUUUACACUUUUUGGCAAUUUCCUUACCAACUAGCGACAAUUCUUCAGGACAGCCUUCACCAUGGAAUACUUUCUCUACUAAUAAGGUCCAGCUUUCAUAAUCAGAAAAUAAGCGUAGAGAAUGAGGAUCACUAUCUGGUUCAAUUUGCAAGGCCACAUCACGAAGGCGGCUCGUAAUCAAAAUUCUGCUGCCAUUGGCAUCAUCUGGGAACGAAUUUCUUAACUCAUUCCAAACUCCAGCAUCCCACACGUCAUCCAUAACAAUGAGAAACCUGUUUCUUAGUAAGCACUGACGCAAUUUUAAUUGGAGAUCUUCGUUAGUCAUUUGACGAAUUUCAUCCGUAAGCCCGAGAAUGCCACGUAAAAUCUCCAGCAGCAGUUCUCUUUUGUCAUAUUCUUGUGAAACAGUACACCAUGCACGACAAUGAAAGUGAGACAAAACCUUUUGGCAGUUAAACAGUUUCCAAGCCAUUGUUGUCUUGCCAAUACCGGGCAUUCCCACAAGAGAAACAAUGCCAAACUUUGAGGAUCCCUUGACAAGUUGAUCAGUUAUAGAUUGUUCUUCAUCUCUGGGAUCCACCACCAUUCCAUUGAUUGCCGGUGUAGCAUCCCGUGAUAUCACGUUGGGUGGAACCUGGAUGACGUGUUUGUUAUCUAGGACUUUGGCUUGAGGGGUCGUCAACUGAAUUCUAGAGGCUCGCUUAUUAACAAUUCUUAACUCCUCCAGUAGAUCAUAAACCAAAAAGAAACCUUGCCAUUGAGGAUCGACCUCAAUUGAGUCAAUGACAAACUCAAUUUUAUAAGCAAUAUUGGCAACAUGACCACCAAGAACUUUCACUUCUGGAUAGUCAUCAAUCUCCGACUCUGAGACUUUCAUGAGAAAAGAACCCAGAGACUUGAAAUGUAGAUGAAUUUCUUUUAUGUAAUUCCUGACUGGUUCAAUUGACACAGGAUCAUCGUUCAGCAGUUCCUCUAGGUUUCUGAUGAGAAAUUCAACAAACCCUGUCUUGUAAGUCUUGGGAAAAUCAAACAAUGGAAACUGGGGACUAAUCUCUCUGAGCUUAGACUUGAUAGGAUUCAGCUUAUCUUGCAGUUUAGAGGAUGAGAUGAUCAUAUUGUGGAUGGGUCCUGCCAUCCCUGCAUCAAAUGUUUCAGUUUGUGGGAAGAUCAUGUCCGUGUCCUCUGUCUCCUCCUUUAGCUGGUUGCUGAGAAGUGUGAAAAGAUUAAGGAGCACAAGAAGUGCAAUUUGAUCUUUUCGAUGACCCUCGGAAUUUGCACUCUCAAGUUGUAACUUCUCAAAUAAUGCUUCUGCUUUGAAAACAACAAUGUUAAGAAGCAAUAGGAAAAUUGAGUUUCUCACCGUGGAUUCUGUUAUGCUCUUGGCCUCAAACAACUGACGGAGAGAUGCUACCGUGUAGUCCGCUUGUUUAAUGAAAGCCAAGGCCUUGUUCCAAUAUUCUGCCUCCCCAUGCAGAAGAUUUCCCAAAAAACGUAUCCAUAUUUCUGGCAUCCCCUUGAGCAGAUCUUUAUUUCGGAAAGUGCUCCCUUGAAUGUUACAGUGAAGCAUCCCCUUGAGGAAAAGCUCCGUCUGGAGGAGACAAACAUUUAUACGUAGCUCACCCUUUCGUUCCGUCUGUUUGAGGAACUCCCUCUCUAUGAGCACCGUAUGAAUUUCUGCAAGGAAAUUUGGUAUAGUUUGAUCCUCCUCCUCCUCCUGCUUCAGUUUGAUGAAGGCUAAAAGCUUUAACAGCCCAUAGAUCUCCCCAGAAGAGAUCUCCUUAGAAUAGAUCUUUGGAAUAUCUCUGAACCUCAUUUUAGAGGCAACAUAAUUGCUAUAAUGAGACAUAAAGUCGGGCUUAACUCCUCCCAUUUUUCGGAGAGCUACAAGAAAAUGGAGAUGGAAGUCCACGAACUUGGGAUUAGUUGGAUGAAUCUCAUGUUGCAGAGCCAAUACAGAUUUAGUUACCUGCUUCAUUUCCUCCCUUCUGGUUGUGCCUGCUGUUUUCCUGUCGUUAAUCCGUUGCCUAAGAGUGUGGAUUGCAAUGCGUACCAUCACAGAUGCAACACGAGUUACGAAAUCAUUGAUAACAUUUACGUCAUCACCACCUGCUGCUGCCGCUGCUGCUGGGAAAUCGAGAUCACUGGAUACACCUUCCAUGUAUUCCCCGAACAACCUUAGCUCUUUGCGCCAGGCACCGAUUGGCUCGCUCCAUUUUGUAUCGUCCACAAUAUCGGCCAGAGUGGACACAAAUUGUAACCAAAAAGAAACAUCAGAUGGAGAUUGCAGUCGACAAGACGACCACCCGGAUGAAUCCAAAAGGUGUUCAACAUCUUCUCCGAUCUCUUCGAUCCAUUCGAUGGUUUUAUAGUAAUAAUCAUAGAAAGUUUUGGCAUUUACCGAGGAAAGAAACUUUAUCUGGGUGUUGUUCUUGUUUGUAAUUACAACAUGCCUACCAAUCUCCUCGGCUGCAGCUUCAAUCUUGAAUCCCAUAUUAAGCAGCAUGCGCUCUGCAUCUUCAUCUCUCAUCAGCUUGUGAAUUGCUUCCCAAAUUAACCUCAAAAGCUUCCAAUCUUCCAAGAUGCGAUAGCGUUGACGCCAGUGACCUCUGUUUCCACGCCAAAUUCCACCGACCAUUCCAUUAUUUCUCCGUACAACAUCCAAGAAAAAAACUAUGAUAUCAAAGCUGGAAAUAGCCAUCUCCAGGUCCAGAAUUUUGAUCUCUUACUCGAGCAUACCAGUUCUGUCUGUCAGACUGAUCUGGUAAACACAAAUGCUUUUGAUGUAUGUAUUAGGUGAAAGUUUCACCGUGAAAUGCUAUCCAUGCUUGGCUGAAAUACUCGAGCUCGAUCGAGCAUUUGAUGUUGAACUUGAGUUCGACUCGAUCGAGUGCUCUGUUGACAGAGUUCGACUUGUUAGAGUUCAAAAAAAUUUGGAAUAUAAUAAUAUAAUAAUUAAAUAUUUAAUUAUCGUAACAAAUAAACCUAAAAUAGUAAUUAAUUAUUUUAACAAAUAAACCUAAAGUUAAAAUUUGGAUAACAAUAAUAUAACAAAUAAAUAUUUAACAUAAAACUUGAGUGGAGUGCUCUAUUCACAAAGCUCGAACUCGAUUUGUUAGAGCUUAAAAAAUUUUGAAAAUAAUAAAAUAAUAAUUAAAUAUUUAAUUAUUGUAACAAAUAAACCUAAAAUUGUAAUUUGGAUAAUAAUAAAAUAAUAAUUAAAUAUUUAAUUGAAUACUCAAUAGAAUUCGUCCAGCCUUCAAGUCUUCGUUAUUAUUAAUAUUCGAAUUUGAUUUGAAAACUUAAUUAGGUAACUUGAACUCGAUUCAAACUCGAUCGAUAUUGAUCGAAUUCAAUGGAGCAAUUAAUCGAGCUGCUAGCGAGCUCGAGUCAAGCUGCUCAAUUAAAUCUUACCCUUAUCCCCAAUGGACGAGGGCCUCACAAUUUGAGGCAAUAUCCAAUUCGGACAAAUCCGGUCAAGAUCAAAUUGUGAUAACGAGACAGCCACGAUUUACUAUUUAGUGGGUCGACAGCGCAGUAUCAAUUCGCAUGGGGAGGGAAAAAUCAAAAUUGAGGGCUAAUGAAAAGACCUCGUUUGUAGAAUUCAUUGUCCUCUCAUUAGACAUAGAGGUGAAGAAUCAAAGAUGAAGACUACUCAUAGCUAAGAAAUUAUCCAACAUAGGGAGAUAAAGUCUCAGAUUCUUCAACUUUUUGGGAAGUGAAAUUUUGCAGUCCUAACAAAUUCGAGAUUUAUUGAGGCUUUGCUUGUUGGUUCAUAAUUUAACUAAAAAAAUUUUUUCUCAUAUCAUCAAAGUAUCAAGUAUGUUCUUGGGUUUUCAGAAAAUUCAUGGAUAUUGGAAAUUUUUUUCUUCGUUUAUUGUAAUUACAAGGGGACACAAAAGGCAUUUGUUUUUUUCCAUACAUGUGAAGAAUUCUCAAUACUUAAUGACUGCUAUAAGAAGAAAAUUAGCAAAAAUCCUAACUCUCUAAUUAUCCAAAUCGAAUGGUAGAACUGUUAUGAGUUCGCCCAGUGAAAACAUUUUGAUCGUGAUGUGAAUUGCUUUUAGAUACAAAACUUUGGAAGAAACUUGUUCGUUGCUUUAUUCGAUUUUGGUUAGCUUAUAAGUAGUUGUUGGGCUUGGGCAUUCACACCACUGGUUAUCAUUUAUGCACGCAACUGCUCUGGCCGCCAACAUUUCACGAUAGAGAAAUAAUCUGCAGUUCUGUAAGAAACACUGAUAUUGAUAUCUGAAACCGGAAUUUCAAUUUGCUAAAUGCAGUUAAAGAGUUUUACUAGAUAUAUUCUCGAGUAUGAAAACCAGCUUAAAGCAAAACGAAAUCAAUUUUCUAAAGAUCUAAAACAAAAAUCUAGCAGAUUACUUUAAAGCCAACCAAAAUCUGCAUGAUUAGAAUUUCAGUUUGCUUCAGUAGGUAUAAUCUAGAGGACCAACAAAACCAACUUAAACAAAUUGAAUUCACCUUUCCAAAGAUCUCAAGCAAUAAUUGAUAGUUGAGUAUCCAGAUUGAGCAAAACAUUCCAUUGCAUGGAAGUUGAAUUAAGAAACACAUCAUCUCACAAAUGAAUCGAGAGAAGACUAAGUUACUGAAAUUUGAUUAUCUUACAAGUUCGGGGAGUAAUACAACAGAAUCCACAAUCAUACUAUGAACUACUAAUAAGAACUUUGAUGUCCCCAGUUGCUUCCCUGAUUCUUUUUGCAGACUCUUCUGCAGAUUGUCUGCACCAGUGCACUUCAAUCACUUCCAGUGUACCUAUGUCUGCAAAAUCAUUCGGGAUUUCCUCGAGGUCUUUGCAAUUUUGCAAGACAAGCCGUUCAAGUUUGGGAAGGUGAUCACAAGUAGCAUUCCAUUGACAGAUGUUCAGAUUGUCUAACUUCAAGAAUUUAAGUUCCUUGAAGUGUUCUUCCUCCAUGUCCCAUAUCAGCCCCUUAAAGGCACCAAGAAGUAAUUUGAGAACUUCCAGGUUGGGCAGUCUCCCAAUUGUUGAGAUGCGGCUCCAUGGUAGGUGGAAGUUUGAAAGAGUCAAUUCCCUCAGAUUUGGUGGGAGAACGAAUUCACUGGUGAUUGCUCUCCCAACGUAAAAUACAUUGAGUGACAUUAAACGAGUUAGAGAAUCCAGUUUUGGAAACUGACCACAAUUCUGGGAAGAAUCCCGUGGGUGAAAGAAUAUGCAUUUCAGUUUACGAAGAUUUGGCAACCUCUUCAUUAUGUUCUCUGUAUCUUCACCACAAGAAAGAGAGAGACGUGAAAAGCUAACCAAAUUUCCCAACUCACAGCAGCCGCCAAACUCCUUAUCACCCAACUUGAAAGCAACAUGCAUGUUCACAUGAAGAUGCCUCAAACUUGCCAUGCUCCACAUAUUGUCUGGUAAGACAACCUGACCACGUAACCCCUUCACAACAAAAGUUUCCAAUUUUCGGAGAUUGGCUAUGGAUUGUGGAAUAGAACGCAUAUACCCACUAACCGCCAAAUACCUCAAAUGAACCAAUAGUCCUAUUUCAACAGGAAAGGUAAUACCAAUGUUGAUCAUUUCAAAAUCCAACGUGCGCAGAAGUUUGAAGUUGUGACAAAUGAGUGAGAUGUUGUAAGGACAUCUAGGCUCUGAAUCAGUUGAGGGAAAGAAUAUUAUAGAACGGGUGCCCAGCCCAAAAGGCACUGAUUCAAAAAAAUGAACUCGCUUCAAAAAUAUGCACAACCGAUAGGAUUCAUAUGUUACGUGAUCAGAAUAAUGGCCAAAAUCGAAUUCAAAACCAAAAUCUGAGCUGGGAAAAGAAGCAUAUGGCUCAUCAGACCUGGUUAUUAACUUGAAAAAGUUCUCUUCUUUGGCUUUUAACUGACAAAAAUCACGUAACAGAUCAUGCAAGCGACAUGAUUUGACCGUUCCGUUGGAUCUUCUUUUGGAGACUUCCACCAGGCUUCUGCUAAUCAACUCCAUCAAGUAACCCUCGGCAAUACCUUCUAAGCUCUUCAACUCAGAGUCAUGAAUGAAACCUUCAGCAAGCCAAAACCGUAUCAACUUGCUAACAGGAAUAUCCUUGUCUUCAAGGAAAACUCCCAAGUAAAGAAAGCACGGUUUUAGAUAUCCCGGUAAGUGUUUGUAACUCAAUUCUAAGAUUUCCAUGCACCGAGCUUUUGGAUCUUCCAUAACUUCAGCAAUCAAGCUUUUUGCAAUUUUCCCCCACGAUUCUGUGCUCCUUUCGAUCCUUUGGAGGAGACCAGAUAUUGCAACAACAGCAAGAGGCAAUCCUUUACACUUUUUGGCAAUUUCCUUACCAACUAGCAACAAUUCUUCAGGACAACCUUCACCAUGGAAAACUUUCCCUACUAACAAGUUCCAACUUUCAUCAUCAGAAAAUAAGCGUAGAGAAUGAGGAUCACUAUCUGGUUCAAUUUGCAAGGCCACAUCACGAAGGCGGCUUGUAAUCAAAAUUCUGCUUCCAUUGGCUUCAUCUGGGAAUGAAUUUCUUAACUCAUUCCAAACUCCAUCAUCCCACACGUCAUCCAUAACAAUGAGAAACCUGUUUCUUAGUAAGCACUGAUGCAAUUUUAAUUGGAGAUCUUCGUUAGUCAUUUGACGAAUUUCAUCCGUAAGCCCGAGAAUGCCACGUAAAAUCUCCAGCAACAGUUCUCUUUUCUCAUAUACUUGUGAAACAGUACACCAUGCAUGACAAUGAAAGUAAUACAUAACAUUUGGAUGGUUAAACACUUUCCAAGCCAGAGUUGUCUUACCAAUACCAGGCAUUCCAAUAAUGGAAACAAUGCCACGCCGUGGGGAUCCUUUGAUGAGUUGAUCAAUCACAUAUUGUUCUUCAUCUCUGAGAUCGACCACCAUUUCAUUGAUUGCUGCCCGUGACAUCAUGUUGGGUGGAACCUGGAUGAUGUGUUUGCUACUUAGGACUCUGGCAUCCGAGGUUGUCAACUGAAUACUAGAGGCUUGUUUACUAACAAUCCUUAACUCCUCUAGCAGAUCAUAAACCAAAAAGAAGUGCUGCCAUUGAGCAUCAACCUCAAUUGAGUCAAUAACAUGCUCAAUUUUAUAUGCUAUAUUGGCAGCAUGAACACCAAAAUCUUUCAGUUCUGGAUUGUCCUCAAUAUCCGACUCCGAAACUUUCAUGAGAAAGGAACCCAAUGACUCGAAAUGUAGAUGAAUCUCUUUUAUGUAAUUCCUGACUUGUUCAAUUGAUGCAGGAUCAUAUUUCAGCAGCUCCUUUAGGUUUCUGACGAGGAAAUCAAUGAACCCUGGCAUGUAAGUCUUGGGAAUAUCAGAAAAUGGAAAUUGGGGACUUAGCUCUCUAAGCUUUGCCCUGAGAUGAUUCUGCUUAUCUAGCAGCUGAGAAGAUGACAUGAUCAUAUUGAUGAUGGGUCCUGUCAUCCCUGCAUCAAAAGUUUCAGUUUGUGGGAAGAUCAAGUCCAUGUCCUGUGUCUCCUUCUUUAGCUGGUUGCAGAGAAGUGUGAAAAGAUUAAGCCGCGCGAGUAGUGCAAUUUGAUCUUUCCGAUAAGCCACGGAAUUUGCUGCCCUACUACUCUCAAUUGAUAACUUCUUAAAUGAGGCUUCUGCUUUGAAAGCAACAAUGUUAAGAAGCAAUAGCAGAGUUGAGUUCCUCACCGUGGGUUCUGUUAUCUUCUCGGCCUCAAAUAACUGAUGGAGAGAUGCGACCUUGUGGUCCACUUGUUGAAUGAGAGCCGCGGUCUUAUUCCCAUAUUCUGCAUUAUACUCUGCCUUUCCAUGAGGAUGUUCUCCCAAACAUUUUAUCAAUUCUUUUGUCAUCCGAUCAGCAUCAUCUUUAGCACGAUUGAGCAGAUCUUUAAUUUGGAAAGUGCUCCCUUGAAUGUUAGGGUGAAGCAUCCCCUUGAGGAAAAGCUCCGUCAGGAGAAGACAAACAUUUAUACGCAGCUCAGAAGGUCUAGGCUCAGCUUUUAGCAGCGUCUGUUUGAGAGAUCCCGUCUCCAUGAGCACCGAAUGAACUUCUGCAAAGAAAAUUGGCACCGUUUGAUCCUCUUCUUCCUCGUCCUCCUCCAGUUUGGUGAAGACUAAAAGCUUUAACCGCUCAUAGAUAACUCGAUAAUAGUUGUCUCCAAGAUCUCCGAUCCUCACUCUAGGGACAACAUAAUAGCGAUAACGAAAGCAAAAAUUGGGCUCAACUCCUCCAAUUUUAUGGAGAGCUACAAGGAAAUGGAGAUGGAACUCCAUGAAUCCGGGAUUAGUAGGAUCAAUCUCAUGUUGCAAAUUCACUAGAGGUUUUGUUAGAUUAAUGAUUUCUUCCUCUUUGAUUCGGUCAUUCGUUUUUCUGCAGUAAAUCUGGCACUUAAAAGUGUGGAUUGCAGUGCGUACCACCACAGAUGCAACACGAGUCACGAAAUCAUUGAUAAUAUUUACAUCAUCACCACUUGCUCCUGCUGCUGCUGCUGCUGGGAAGUCGAGAUCCCUGAAUACAUCUUCCAUGUAAUUCCGGAUCAAGCGUAGCUCUGCCACCAGGGCAUUGACUGGGUCGCCCAACCGCAUACUCGCCACAAUCCCGGCUACAGUGGCUAAAAAUUUUAACCAAAAAGAAACAUCGGAUGGUGAUUUCAGUCGACACGACGACCUCCCGGAUAAAACCAAAAGAUGUUCAACAGCUUCUCCGAUCUCUUCGAUCACAUUGCAGGUUUUCUUGUAAUAAUCUUGGAGAAUUUCGUCGUCCACCAGGGAUAGCACUUCCCGGCCAAUCUCCUGGGCUGCAGCUUCGAUCUUGAAUCCCAUAUUAAGCAGCACCCGCUCUGCAUGUUCAUCUCUCACCAGCUUGUGAAUUGCUUCCCAAAUAAACCUCAAAAACUCCCAAUCAGAGAUUCUUUCACGUACGAAUGCACCACCAAUCGGUAACUUACGCAAGAAAAAACCUAUGAUAUCCCAGCUGGGAAUAUCCAUUUCCAGAUCCAGAAUUUUGAUCUCUUACUUGAGCAAGCAUACCAAGAUCUGUCUAUCAGACUGGUCUGUCUGUGUAAACGAGAAAUUCUUCUAAUGGAGUAGCAGCUAUGCAAGAGACUCCCCGACGCAUCGGGGGCCUCACAAUUUGAGGCACUUUCCAUUUCAAACAAUUUCACGGCCAAGAUUAGAUUACUGUAAUGGGACGGUCAGGAUGGGGCCACGACAUGGUUUUUAGUUGAGCCCCACAAAACAGUACCGUUUCGUGUCCGACAAAGAAAAGUGAAAAUUAAGGACUAAUAGCAUGACCGCAUUUGGAGAACACGUAGUUGGGAUUUUGGACCCUUCCGCUUACUGUAUUCAAAAAAAAAAAAAAACUCUAUAAAAUUUUUAAUGAAACCCAACAUAGAGAAAUAAGGUCCCAACUUCUUCAACAUUUUGGAAAGUGAAAAUUUAUGCGAUCCUACAAAUUCCAGAUUUAUUGAAGUUUUGCUUGUUAGUCUUUUUUUUUUUUUUUCUUUCAGUAUAAAUAGAAAGUUUGAAUUGAAAAUCUUUCCCUCACGCUCUUUCGUUUGAAAUUAUCUAAUUCAACUCUCCUCCUUCCGAAUCACCACCGCUCUACAUGUUGGUUGAUAAUUAAAAAAAUUUUUUUUCCUCAUAUCAUGAAAGUAUCAAGUAUGUCCUUGGAUUUUUAGAAUAUUCAUAGAUAUUGGAAUCUUUUUUGUCUUUGUUUGUUGUAAUUACAAGGGGAUACAAAAGGCAUUUGCUUUUUUCCAUACUUGUGCAGAAAUUCUCAAUAUCUAAUGACUGCUAUAAGAAGAAAAUUAGCAAUAAUCAUAACUCUCUAAUCAUCCAAAUCGAAUUGGUAGAUUAGGGCUGUUAUAAUUUCUUAAUUGGCAAAUAAAACUUUUGGUUUGAAUUAGUCUUGUUCAAGAACAAUUUAGAAAUCGUUAUGCCAGAACAAUUUAGAAAUCGUCAUGGCAGUGUUGUGUGUAAGAGUAUGUAAAAACACUUUAAAGAAAAAUUUUCCGUUUUGAUCAUUAUUUAGCUGCUGUAAAUAUAUUUGAUUUUUGAAUAAUUGCAAAACAAUGGAUGGCUGAGUUGUUAUGAGUUAGCCGAUUGAAAACAUUUUGAUCAUAUAAUGUGAAUUACUUUUAGAGACAAAACUUUGGAAGAAACUUGUUUAUUGCUAAUCCGAUUUUGGCUAGUUAAUAAGUAGUUGCUGGACAUUCACAUCACUGAUUAUCGUUUAUACAUUUAAGAGUGAAUUCAAUAUUGAUGUCUUUAGCUUACAACCAAUUGCAGGAGAUUAACCAAUUGCAGGAGAUUUGCAAGUUGAUUACUAUUAUUACAAGUUGUAAACCAUUAUUACUUUGGUUGGUUUGCAAGCAAUUCUUGGACAUUCAAAUUAGCUGAUGCUGUUUUGACACCCAAGUGUUAAAGGCAUUAUUUGGUUGGUUUACAAGCAAUUCCAUGUAGGUUUUGAUAAUACAAGAUUAACGAGGGUGAUAAUUGUUUUUGCAAUACGGGGGAUGAACAGCAUUGGGAAGCAGAUAAUGGAUAUUCAAUGAUUUUUUUUUAUAUGAAUGAUGUAAAUUAAUUGUGAAACAUAAGACAUCCUGUGACAGCCCCACCUUCCGCUAAGGCGAACCAAAGGGUUCGGCGGACUGCCUGUCAAACUCUCAUCAGGACUACGGAGUCGAAUCACACCAACCCUAUAUCACGCGCAAUAGAACCCAAAGAAAACAAACAAUUGGAGACCACCAAGAUAAAAUAUAACUUACCAAACCAUACGGUGAUACGGAACUUCAAUGAAACACCUCAACGAAAGGAAAACGAACGAAAAUGGCCACGUCACAAUCCGGCCGGAAGUUGGCCGGAUUAAAGGCAGUGGCUAACCCAAAAUUUUUCAAAUGCCGCGCUCGCCCGAUCGUCCAACGGUUACAAGAAACAUUCACCAAAGCCAUAGAAGAAUAACAUCUCAAAGGAAUACACUUAAAAAAAAAAAAAACAAGGUUAAAUACUUAUUACAUUGGAGUCUUGAACAAAUUAACUAAAGUACAAGCCAAAGUAUUCAUACUGUUCAAAAUACAAUUAGGGUUUCGGUUGCAAAAGAGCUUAACAAAAUAACCUAUACACUAGCUCGACCCUUUCUUCCAAAACCAUGAUUUCAAAGUUUGUCCCCUGUAAGGAAAACAAAAAUAACGGGAAGAGGGUGAGGUUACACUCAAUGAGGUACCAAAAUAAUAACAGUCAAGAAUCAUGGAACUUCAUGUUCAAUUAGUCACAUGUGCAUAUCAAAUAGGAAAAUAAACAAACACUUUAGAUAGAAAGGAUACAGGUGGUUCUCGGGAGCCCAAAGUUCCCAUUGCAUUAUUUGAUCCAAACCCGUUGACUCUCCGUCAACGUAUAAAGAAUAACCCUAUCCGUAGACCCCACUUUACACCAAAUUUUGUCCACCAAACAUACCCCUUACCGGGCCAGAACACCUCAACAGAAACAGAAGUGGUAAUACUCGAAUAUACUGAAAUUCCAGAGUCUCCAAUACCCAAAAACUUUCCAGAAACAGACUACCGUAACUCGUUAUCUAAUCGACCAGACCCUUGCCGGCUCGACUCGAGUAACUAACCACAGGUUUUGAACUCAAAAAUCACAGAAGGGUCGUGGGAUACAAGCCUCCAGACAACGUCAGUACAGACUCAGAUACAGAUAACAGAUUCAAGUAUACAUAGUAAAUAGGCAUACAGAACAAGAGAAUGAGUGUGAUAAAGUACACCCUCGUCUCGAACAGAAUAAACAGAUAGUACAGUCAUUCAAAUCAUAGAUUUCAUGUACAGAAAUCCAAUUAAGCAAUAAAUGAGGGGAGUGGUACACUCACCAAUUCGAGCAAAAAUAACUUCAAGGGUUCCCUCCCAAAGUAUGCUUUAAUCACCAAGAAACCCUAAAAUAACCAAGGCAAAACAGUUAUGAUUUCCACAUCCACAAACUCAGGGAACGGAUUACACAAUUUAGGCUCGACUCCGAGUCAUAUGCCUAACCAAGUUUAAUUACUACUGCAAGGAUACAAAAAUGUGAUUUUGGACGAAAAGGUAGCAUAAGGACCUAGGAACACUAACAACCCAAAAGCCCCUUCAUUUCUACCAAGAAUCCACUCACACUUGAAGGAGCCAACUUCCCCCAAAAAAUUGGACAGCAUUUCCUUUAAAUUUUCUUACUUUUCCAUCCUACAAUCCACACCAAAUUUGAUUUCAAACCAACCACAAUUGCACAUACGAUUCAUAGGCAAUAAAACACAUCUAAUAGGGCCACAAUACCCAUCAAUUUGAGCCAAUUAAUAGCUCCAAAAUCAAUCACAAUUGAGCUCCACAUUCAUCAAAGAUAGUUUCCGUGCUCAAGUCCAAGCCUUAGGUUACAAAUAUCAUGUCAAACAAAGGAAAUUCUAUAAAUAUCAAGUUUCACGCACCUUUCGGCAUGAUAACCACAACUAAAGCUACACUUAUCGGAUUGAGACGAAUCUUAUGUCGUUUCGAAGCCAAGACAUAUACUUACAUUUAUUAUGAAGACCUCUAAAGCCAAAUCAUGCAUUUUCAUGGUCAAAAAUCGAAAUCUCAGAGAGAACAGAAAACUGUCCGUGAAACAAGGCUUGUGGCCAGUCAAGGGUAUUUUGGUCAUUUCACAAGCUACAGUACUCUGAUUGAACUGAAAUUUUACCAGUAGUUAGCUAACUCAAUUACCUACAACUUUCAUGUUUUGAGCAAGGGCUGAUUUGGCCUCCCUCAAGGAUGAACAUACAGUGCAAAACCAGGACAGAUUACUACAAAUGGAAACCCUAAGCUGGAAUUUUACUCCACAAGCUGAAACUUUCCGUAGACAACCAAAAUUAGCAUAGAUUAGCUUCAUUUUACACAUAACAAAGCUAUCAUUCCAUGACCAAUCAUUAAUCAUCACAUGAGGGUAGAAAAAUCUCCAAUAAAUCUGAAAUUUACCAAACCCUAACUCAAGCCAUGAACUUUCUCACAAAACUACCUAUUUAACAACUAUAAUCCACUAAUAUGCAAUUAUUAAAAGUAAAGAGGGAUUUUCUUGGCAAGUUACCUUAUACCCACAAGAAAGAUGGUAGCUUAGGCUUCUUCCUCCCAAAAUAGCUCCACAAACACCUUGGAAACUACCUUAACUAGCACUUUUAUGGAGUAGUUUGCGAUUUAAUCGGUUAGAACUCAAGAUUUGGACAAGAAAUUGAAGUGGAAGAUGAAGAACUCUCUUGGUUUUUCUCUCAAUAUUUUCGGCCAAAGGAGACAAGAAAGUGAAGCAAUUUUUGGUCAAAAAUCUGAUUUUAGUAAAGUUAAUAACCUUGGUCAAAAAUCCAACUUCCAAUGAUUUUGUGACAAAUGACACCUUAGGGUUCAAAUCUCAUCCUUUUGUCUACCAAUCAUUAAUCUAUCUAGCUAACCUCUAACUAUCUUCUAACACCUUGUACAGUAAUAUCCCUUUAUACAAAACUUCAACUAAUCAUCAAAAAUUUAUCGCACUUAGCACACUAGUGGGUCACGCGCCAAUAAUACACUUCAAACUUAACAUGAACUAUCUUAUACUAGGAAAAUGAGUUAAAAACUAUACUCACUCAUAAAAAUCUUUGGAAAAUUGAUAUAGUAAAAUAAAGUAAAGAAAAUGCAUGCAAAAUAAAUAAAAUAAUAUAAUAUAAACUAAAAAAAUUUUACGGGUCCUCACACAUCCAUUUACCAUGGAUUUGGAGCCCUCCGGUUUAAAUCAGUUGUGAAUAUCUAACAACAUUUGGUGUGAACUCGUAUAAUUUCAGUGAAAUUAUAAUUUUUUUACACAAAUUUAGUUGUAUAAAUCACGAGCUCAAGUUUUACACUAAAGUUGUAUGAAUUUAUACCAAAUACAAUAGUAAUUACACAACUAAUUUGAAUUGGAUAACAACUCAAUUUGUAAAGUCUCGAAUCCUGUUUACCAGUACAAGGAUAUGGUUCUUUUGGUUAACGUUAAAUUGUAAGUUGUUGACAUUCAAAAGAGGAACUAGAUGGUGGCACUGGAGCAAUGUAGAUGAAUCUUUUUUGUUACACUUGCAAGUUUAAAACCCAAAAGAUGUGCAGUCUGAACCAAAUUGUCUCGAAGAGAAGAUCGGCAAACUAAACCUACUAGGAAAAAAAAAAAAGAAUUAUUCUAACAAGUAUCCAAUAGAUACUCAUUAAUACAGUCAAAUUGCAUUCAAUCUACCAUAUCAAUGUAUAUAUUAACAAUUAUUACCUUCUCUUACAUUUUGACACUUUCCCUGUUAAUAUUACUUUAACAAUUAUUAUCAUCCCUUAUGUUUAUAUACUUUUUCUAAUUAACUUUACUUUUCAAAAAAAUUUAAUGCCUAAAAUAUAUAUUAAUGAGUGCCCCGUUAGACAAAAUAAAAAAUAAAUAUUUAAUGGAAUACAAAAGUAUGAUUUAAUGGACAAAAAGUUAACUGAAUCACAACUAAACCACUUUAAAAAAGUUUUUUCACUUUUGUAACUUCCCCAUUAUCUGUAGAGUGAUAAGGGAAAAGUAUCAUAAUAUGUGUGCUAAGUAGGUAUCUAUACAAUAAUAAAGGAAGAAAGGUGGGAGUUGGGGUAAACAUUUUGCGUCAUUUUUUAAACUUUCAAUUGCCCUGAAAAUAUUAAUUUUUACCUUAACCACCUAAUCACAUUUGCUAAUAUAAUCUCUCAUAACUCCCAAUGAUAAUGAUAAAUUAAUUUUUUUUGUUAUAAUUGGAAAGUCUCGAACCCGACAUCUCACAUAACUCUCUUAAAUAUUGUAACUACCAAAUUAAUUAUGACUGUAUUAAAGAAAAAAAUUACUGAAGAAUUUAUAUAAAAUUUAAAGUUUGUAAAAAUAAAAAUAAUAUAUUCAUAAAAAUUAAUAAUUAUUUCUAAACUGCACACGCAUUGGGUGCUUUCUUAAUAAGAAGUGUAUAACUUCUAUCAAAUUAUUAUGAAGGGAAUGAAUUAUGAUUAUGCAUUAAAUCAUGCACGAAAAUGUACUAGUCUCUGUAUUGAAUGUAAUCACGCAAAGUAUGUAAUUACUUUUAACCAUGAUUGUACAGAACUUUCUCCUUCAUUAUUAAAUUGCCUUUUCAAUACUUUCCCAAAAAUAUAUUCCUUGGUUUUUUGUUAAAUAACAUGCCGCCUUGGUCCAUCCCAUCCCAACUUUAGCCUUUUCUUUUUCUUUCUUUUCCUUCCAUCAAUAAUUCCCAACUCUAGCUUAAAGCCGCACUAAUUUUCAAAGGAAAAUGAUAUUCAGUCCGAUCGGAUCAAGCCGUCCAGCAGGCAUGAAAUUAUGAAAUUGUAACUUUUAAGGCUUGAAGAGGACAUGCUGGCCGUGGUAGCUGGAAAGAGGAACAACUAAACUAUACUCUUGUAAGCAUUUCGUUAAAUUUUCGAUGGUAUACUACAAAGAAAAUUAUGUUGUCAAUUUCUCAGGAACGUGAAAAGCAGCAUGAGGCAAAUCUUUUUAGAUGUCUGGAUCAGAUAAUUGCAUCAUCUGUAAAACCCUGGAUUUUUGGGACUCAUUUUCAUUAUCUUGCCCAAUUAAAUUAAAUGGUAAUUUACCCUUGGUAAAAGCAAAAAUAAUUGCAGGUUAGGUUAAAGGGUUAAUUGAGGGAUAGGAUGGGAUAAGAAAGGGUAAUAGUUUACAACAGUUAAAACUCAUAUCUAAAUCACCUACUAGUGGGUGGUUAUUAGGGUUUAGCAUACCUAUCAGAACAACAAAGAGAAAAAAAAAUAACAUCUCUCCUACCUUUCAUUAUCUGCCUCCCCUAGAGCAAAAGCUGUCAGAGAGUAGAGAAGGAGAAGCAAGCGACACCGUCAAUCGAUCAGACGACUAGGCCCCUAAACCUGUAAGUCCUAAAUUCAUGUGAAACUUCUCUUUUAAGUUCUAUUAGUCGGAUUAAUUAUUCUAAAGAUUUUACGGAUAUGUAUUAUGUUAUAUAUGGAGAUAUAUGCUUGUAUAUGAGAUUUAGGAGGAUUCGUAUCUGAAUUAGUAGGAUUAAGGUAUUAAAUUUUUAUUAUGGGAUGAAUACGAUUUACCGAAAUCUAUUGGAAAGUUAUUAUGAAAAAAAAAAAGAAGAAAAGUUGUUGAAGCCAAGCUUCAACGAUGCAAAAAAAAAAAAAAAGGAGAAUAGUCUCCAGCAAGUGGCUGGCGACAUGGAUCAAGUAGGAAAGGUUGGCCGAAAAAAAAAAAAAAAAAAAAAAAAAGAGUCGCCAGCAAGUGCUGGCGACAGAGACAAUUAACAAAGGUUGGCCAAAAGGUAAAGGAAAAGAAAAAUAGCGGAAGUAGGGUCCCCUCUUUUCACUAGCUAAAGAAGGAAAAAAUAUAUAUAUAUAUAUUAUGAAUAAAAGAAAAUCGUAAUAAAAAUAAUUUAAAAAAUAUAUAUAUAUAUGGCAAGUAUACUUGGGUCAAAAUAUAAUACAGGUUUAGUGAAUGUUCAGAAGAUAAAUUUUAAAUAUAACUAACUCACCUUUAUAACUUAUCAUGGGUAUUAAAUUUCAAAACCCAAGCUAAAAAUAAUUUUUAGAGUUGCAAGAUUUAGUCAUCUAAGUUUAUACUUAAUUGAUUAAGUCUAAAAUAAUUAAAUAGAAAUCUAAAAUAUCUUAAUCUAACCUUACUAGAUCAAUUUGUACAAUGUAGCAUAAGUCCUAAAUUGUUGGACGAAACGUGUAAAAUCGUAAUAAUGAUAAUAAUAAUAAUGAUACUAAUGAUAACACUAAUAGUAAUAAUAAUAAUAAUAACAAUAAUAGUAAUAAUAAUAACAACAUAGAUAUAGGUGAAGUAAAUUAAAGAUAUAAACAAAAAUUAAAUGAAAAUAUAAAUACAAGUGGAAUAAACUAAGACAAUAAUUAUAAUAAUAAAUCAAUAAAUACACAUAUAGACAUAAAUAAUAAUAACAUCUACACAUGCACAAAAAAAUGGAAGUAAAGCAAAGGAUAAUAGUAACUAAUUUACAAAUAUAUAUAAAUGGUUACAAAAUAAAGUAGCGAUGACGAGGACGACAAUAAUAAUAAUGAAUAAUUAUAAAUUAUAGAUAUGUAUAAUAAGAUAAUAGUCAAGAUAAUAAACAUGAUUAGGAAUAAUUACUUUCUUUUAAAAUUAUAAAACUUUACAAAAAGACGAACUUUCCAAAUUAAGAAACUUUCUAAAAAUAGAAACUUUCUAAAAAUGGAAAUCGUCCAAUUUAGGGGAAAUGCUGUUAGGGUUCAUACAAUGGUCUAAACAUGAAUCUUCGACUUACUCAGAGUUCGUAUAUUAUGUAUUUAUAGGAAGUAACAAAUUAGGAAGUCUAUGCAUUUGAUAUGUACGGUACCAGUUUAAGAGACCUAAGGUAGUUCCACUCGAGCAGCCAGAUGAAGGUAGAUGGUACUUACCCUUCUGAGAUUUCAAAGGUGCAAAAAUGAAAGUUUUGUUUCAAUCUUAUUUUGUUGUGUUGACUCGAAAUAUAUUUGAUUAAAUGCUUUACUUGGAUAUUUGUGAAGGUUAUAUUUUUACUAUAUAAAAAUGGACCAUGUGACUUAUUUGAAAUGUUUUGAUAUGUUAUUAUAUACCAAACGAGUUGAAUCUUUUAUGAAAUCAAAGAUUUAUGUAUAUGACGUGUGGAAUGAAUUUUUGACAAGUAAAGCUCAAAACAGUUAUGGAAUAGAUGAUAGGGGUUAUAAUCCUGUCUAAUCGUCAUGGUAGCCUGGUAUAAAGUUCGGCCGAUUGACAAGAUCAUGGUAGCCUGGUAUAGAGUUCGGCCGAUUGACAAAGCCAUGGUAGCCUGGUAUAAAGUCUGGCCGAUUGGCAAGGUCAUGGUAGCCUGGUAUAAAGUCCGGUCGACUGACCCAUGUAUGAAAGAGGCCAAUCGGUAGUCAUGAAACCUAUUGGUCGCCCACCUAGAAGGGGUUUAAUCUCUAGAUUGAGUACUCAGUAGCCGGUCAUCACAUGUACUUGUUAUGAGCUAAUAUGAAAUGAUUUAUGAGUUAAUAUGAAAUGAUUUAUGAACUGAUGUAAAAUGAGACUUAUGAAUGGAUUUAUGAACUGAUAUGGAAUGACUUAUGAAUGGAUAUGAAGAGACUUGUGAAUUGAGACGAAACGAUUUAUGAUUGAAUGAUUUUCCACGUUCAUUUAUCAAUAAGAUGCUUUUAAAUUGCUUGCCACUUGUUACUACUGAUCGUUUUAUAAACGAUGUUACUUUCAAAAUUAUGGAUGUGAUCGACACACGCAAAGGAUUUGAUUUCUAUCUAUAUAUAUGUAUCUGAUAGAGCCGUUAUUUGGCACGUUUUGCAGUGUUAUUUUGUCCUAAUUUUGGCUAUUUACUGUGCUAAGUACUGAGGUUUAACUUAUAUUUCAUAUUUGUAUGAAUUAUAGGUGGCCGGCAUUAAAAAUGAUCUCUUGAGGCAAAUUUACAGAAGAUCCUUCAUCUCAGAGCGUGGCCACGCCUUAAAAGGUAGACGUUACCGAAAAGUCGGACCCUGGUCCACGUGAACCGCGAGGAGCAUGGGAUUAAAACUCCAAAAGGCUAGCUUUUGCUUCAAUCAAUUGGGUCAGACGUGACUUGGCUCCUGGUGGCUUCAAUUAAAAAGAAACUCCAAUGAGAAUGAGGAAAUUAGGUCCACAUGGACCAGCUACGCGGGAUAAAAACUCCAAUGAAGAGAAGAGCUUUGCUCCGCGUGAAUUUCCCCUGCGGCGCUAUAUAAGACAACAAGAAAAGGGACCCGGGGGGUGCUACUUUUAGCUUUAGAUUUACUUCUGCAAGAUUUGUGAGACGUUUGCUUUUUCUUUCUUUCUUCCCUACGGGAGUUUGAGUUUUUCCUUUUCCCAGGCGCUAGACGUCCUUGCCCCUUUUGACUUUUCAUUGGAUAAUUUCUGCGUAGCUUUUGGCUUGUACUGGCGGCUUCAACACGAAGCCAGAACCACGCGAGCUUCAUCGUGAGAGCUUUUGUCUCUUCUUAGUAGAUAAUUUAACUUGCGGCUUUGGCUUUGCGUUACUUUAUUUCCUCCAACCUCUUCGGCAAUUAAUUGAAUGAAUUCAAUUAAAUCACGUGGGAUCGACACGAUAUGGAGCGGCUAAUUUUCUCCUCUACCCAAAGGUUGACGCGAAGGCGCCGUCUAUAAUAUCUGUGAGAUCUAAUCGAAUCUUCAUUAUUUCUUUCAAUUUAUUGCUAUUCGUGCGUUUCCUGAAUUAAUUGUUCAUGGGUAUUGUAUUAAUUGAAUAUCAACGGUCGGGUAUUUGAUUUAAUUUAAUAGCCUACUGCCACGUUAAUUAAAUAGAAUCCGUAAUUGUUCAUUUAGUUAACACCCCGUGGCAACCACCAUAAUUGGCUUUAUGAUGGGGAAACGCAAGAUCUAGCUUAAAUAAACCCUCUUAGCGUGUUUAUUGGUUAGGGUUGGGUUCUUCUAGCUUUAAUGCAAUUGGGUAAUUAAAUUCCUAUGGUCGUACCUAGGGUUGUUAUCUGGUUAGGGAAGCAGUUAAUGGUCGUACCUUAACUGUCGAAAAAGUAAAGAAGAACUGGUUGUCAGAGCUUAUUGAUAACUAUAACCAACCUAGUGAUGAAUGGAUGAAAUACCUUUGGAUCGAUGAGCAUUUAAUUGGACCGUGCCUGAGCAGUUGAAUCUUUGGGUAGAAUUUUAUUAAUUGCUAUUUUUAGUGAAUUGUGCUUUGUGAGUUGGUUUUGAAUUUAGUUCGCUUUAUUUUUAUUUUAAUUGUUUGCCUCCCAUUGAAAAUCCCCCAAUUCCAUUCUACUAAUUUGGAAAGAAAUAAUUUCCUACCCGCUCCCUGUGAAAUCGAUCCUACUUGCCAUUGUACACAAAAGUAAUACUCUUACAAACUAAUCUGGUAUAUCGGAUCAAGCAAACUCUUCGGGAAUAUGGUGAAUCAAGUAACCUAUUGCACACCUAGGGUCCCUGCUCCAGUAUUUGGAUUUGUUCUAUAAUUAUUUGUGGUGGUAAUUAGAACUUUUUAGUAAUUAUUAUUGCACAGGUUCGGCACCUGUCAAUUUUUGGCGCCGUUGCCGGGGAGUUGGCGUUUGGAUUAUUUGUUUCUUUUCAAAUUCAGUAUUUAUUUUAUUUUUAUUUUAUUCUAUUCUUCUUGGUAUUUUUGCUAGUUUAUGCCCCAUUCUUCUCGCACAGGUGAAUUAGUAUACGAUCAUGAGGUUGAGAAGGCAGCGCGUAGGCGGAGGCAAGAGACCAAGAGACGAAAAGAAGGGCCCUUAUUUAUUGCAAACGAGUCGGUAGAAGACGAAGUAAGCAUGGCCAACACCCAAACAUUAAAGGAGCUGGCUGCCCCGGAGCUGAUUCACCAGCCCUUAUGCAUCACAUUCCCCACUCUGGCUGAGAAUACUGCUUUCGAACUGAAGUCGGGGCUGAUUCACCUCUUACCUUCUUUCCAUGGUCUCUCUGGUGAAGAACGCCACAAGCACGUUAAGGAGUUCGAGGUGGUUUGCUCUAGUAUGAAACCUCCUGAGGUCACUGAAGAGCAAAUUAGACUGAGAGUCUUUCCGUUCUCUCUCAUGGAUGCAGCUAAAGAUUGGCUGUACUACCUACCAGCAUGUAGUAUUAUCACAUGGGCACAGUUGAAGAAGAAGUUUUUGGAAAAAUUCUUCCCUGCAUCCAGGGCUGCGAGUUUGAGGAAGGAAAUCUGCAGCAUUAAACAGUAUUCCGGGGAGUUCUUGUAUGAAUAUUGGGAAAGAUUUAACAAGUUGUGCACUAGAUGCCCGCAGUAUCAAAUUAGUGAACAACUGUUAAUCCAAUACUUCUAUAAAGGACUCCAAUCAACUGAUAGGAGUAUCAUUGACGCUGCGAGUGGGAGAGCACUGGCAAACAAGACACCAAAGGAAGCAUGGGAGCUUAUUGAAGCUAGGGCAGAGAAUUCUCAACAGUUUGGCUUCCGUGAGAGUAACCCUACCCGCAGGGUUAAUGAGGUGGAGUCAACAUCUAUUCAGCAACAGUUAUCGGAGCUCACAUCCGUUGUUCGACAAUUAGCUGUGGGGAAUGUGCCCCAAGUAAAGGCCUGUGGAAUCUGCACAAAUAUGGCCCACCAUACUGACUCAUGCCCUAUGUUGCAAGAAGAUGGGGCUGAACAAGUGAACAUGGCUGGAGGCGUGCCCGCGCUUCGUAGACCGUACGACCCAUACUCCAACACGUACAAUCCGGGUUGGAGAGAUCACCCGAAUUUCAGCUAUGGUAAUAGGCCACAAAAUGCAUUCUCCAAUCAUCCACAAGGAUUUCAGCAACUUUGGCAACAGAAGUCUCAGCCCUCGCCCUCUAACUCAGGAAGUUCUUUGGAGGAAAUUGUCAAGAGUUUGACUACGACCACCACUCAACUCCAGCAGGAGACUAGGACAUUAGUCACGACUACUGCCCAACUCCAGCAAGAGACUAGGUCCUUAGUCGCGAGCACCACCCAGUUCCAACAGGAUACCAAAGCGGGCAUGAAAGACAUGGAGACUCGCAUGAGUCAGAUGGCAACCGCCAUUAAUCGCCUGGAGUCCCACGUCUAUGGGAAACUGCCAUCGCAACCUGAGGCAAAUCCCAAAAAUGUGAGUGCAAUGACAUUAAGGAGUGGCAAGGAAGUGGAGGGGCCAAGGGUCACGGACUUGAAAAGUAAAAGUGAAGACAAGAUCGAAAAGGAGAUAGAGGAAGAAGGACACAUUCGUGGAGGUCCUGGGGUAACUCUUACACCAUCAUUACCCGUUAAAUCUACUUUACCCCCUUUCCCAUGCAGGUUGGCAAAGACGAAGAAGGCAGAGAAGGAAAAAGAGAUCCUGGACGUGUUCAAAAAAGUGGAGAUCAACAUCCCCUUGUUGGAAGCAAUUAAGCAGGUGUCGAAGUACGCGAAAUUUCUCAAGGAUCUAUGCACCCAUAAAAGGAAAUUGAGAGGGGAUGAAAGAGUGGUGGUGGGAGAAAACGUGUCAGCCAUGCUCCAAAGAAAGUUCCCACCCAAGUGUGGAGAUCCAUGUAUGUUCACGAUCCCCUGUAAGAUAGGGAAUACACCGAUUAGAAAAGCAAUGUUAGAUUUAGGAGCGUCAAUCAAUGUGAUGCCAAAGACCAUUUUUGCUUCUUUAAAUCUUGGGCCACUUAAAGAAACAGCCAUCAUAAUCCAACUAGCUGAUUGCACAAAUGCAUAUCCAGAGGGGCUAGUUGAAGAUGUUCUGGUUCAGGUAAAUGAAUUAGUUUUUCCUGCAUAUUUUUAUAUCUUGGACAUGGGAGAUGAAAAAUCAUUAAACCCGUCACCUAUCUUGUUAGGUAGACCGUUUCUUAGCACUGCCAGGACUAAGAUAGAUGUGAAUGAGGGUACUUUGUCAAUGGAAUUUGAUGGUGAAACUGUGAAUUUCAAUAUUUUUGAGGCGAUGAAGUAUCCAGAAGAAUCUAACUCGGUCUUUGCUUUGAGCGUUAUUGAGCCUUUUGUGCAGGAAACUUUCGAAUUAGAUGGCAAAGACGCAUUGGAAGUGGCUCUAAUCAAGCAUCUGGAGUUGGGUGUAACUCUUGAUGUGGACCUAAGGGAAGAUUUGCUCCAUGCUGUUGAGGCCUUACAUUCACUACUCACCGUAUCCCCAAGGUAUGAACUUACUUCUCUUUUUGUGCCAGAAACUCAGACGAAGUUGCUUCUUUCAGUUGUGCAGGCACCGGAGUUAGACUAAAGCCUCUCCCGAAGCAUCUAAAGUACGCAUUCCUAGGAGACCGGGAGACACUUCCGGUGAUCAUCUCUGCACACCUAUCUCCAAGUCAAGAGGACAGACUGGUACGAAUCCUUAGGGAGCAUAAGGAGGUAAUUGGGUGGAGCAUAGCCGAUAUUAAAGGGAUUAACCCGUCCUUGUGUAUGCACCGGAUAAGACUCGAGGAUGAUGCAAAGCCGGUGAGGCAAGCACAGCGAAGAUUGAACCCUCUGAUGAUGGAAGUUGUGAAAAAGGAGAUACUCAAGCUUCUGGAGGUAGGGAUCAUUUUCGCUAUUUCGGAUAGUCCGUGAGUGAGUCCUGUCCAAGUGGUCCCGAAGAAGGCGGGAGUGACCGUGAAGGAGAACCAGGAGGGUGAUAUGGUCCCGGUCAGGAGAGCUACUGGGUGGCGUCAGUGCAUCAACUACCGGAGGCUAAAUUCUGUGACUAAAAAGAAUCAUUUUCUCCUCCCUUUUAUUGAUCAGAUGGUAGAACGGUUGGCGGGUCGUGUUUACUAUUAUUUUUUGGAUGACUUUUCAGGUUACUUUCAGAUCGCGAUCGCACCGGAAGAUCAGGAAAAGACUACCUUCACAUGCCCAUUUGGUACGUUUGCCUACCGCCGGAUGCCUUUCGGCCUCUGCAAUGCUCCAGCAACCUUUCAACGGUGUAUGGUAAGUAUUUUCUCUCAGUAUGUGGAAAAAAUAAUUGAGGUGUUCAUGGAUGAUUUUAGUGUAUACGGGGACAGUUUUGAUGAAUGCCUUGAGAAUCUGGCUCUAAUUCUGAAAAGAUGCAUAGAGACGAAUUUGGUGUUUAAUUGGGAAAAAUGUCACUUUAUGGUAGAUCAUGGCAUUAUCUUAGGACACGUUGUGUCGGCUAAGGGAAUAGAGGUAGAUAAAGCUAAAAUAGACCUUAUUUCUGCUCUACCUUACCCCGUAUGUGUACGGGAAGUGCGUUCAUUUUUGGGUCAUGCAGGAUUUUACAGGAGGUUUAUCAAAGACUUCUCAAAGAUAGGAGCACCCCUGUUCAAGUUACUGCAAAAGGACGUGCCAUUUGAUUUCACGAAUGAAUGUAAGGUGGCUUUUGAUAAAUUGAAGGAGUCGUUGACAUCGCCGCCUGUCAUUCAACCACCAGAUUGGAGCGUUCCGUUUGAAAUCAUGUGCGACGCGAGUGACUAUGCCGUGGGGGCCGUUUUGGGGCAAAGAAUUGGAAGAGUGCCACACGCGAUCUACUACACGUCGAGAGCAUUAAGUGGAGCCCAACUUAAUUACUCCACGACGGAAAAAGAAUUACUAGCUGUUAUUUUUGCACUAGAAAAAUUUAGGUCAUAUUUAUUGGGUGCAAAAGUAAUUGUUUUCUCUGAUCAUGCAGCUUUGAGGUACUUGCUGGCGAAAAAAGAUGCAAAAUCGAGGCUGAUUAGGUGGAUCCUGCUCCUACAGGAAUUCGAUCUAGAGAUCAAGGACAAGAGCGGAGCCGAAAAUUUGGUGGCUGACCAUUUAAGCCGGUUGCUCACAAAUCAAGAAGAUCUACCGUUGAGAGAAUCAUUUCCCGAGGAGCAACUUUUAGCCAUUAAUUCGUCGGCACCAUGGUAUGCUGAUAUUGUCAAUUUUUUGGUAGCAAACCAAUUACCUGCAGAUUGGCCAAAGGCUAGAAGAGAUAAAUUAAAAAGUGACGCCAAGCACUAUAUUUGGGAUGACCCCUACCUGUGGAGGCAAUGCUCGGACCAAGUGAUAAGAAGGUGUGUAAGUGCAUGUGAGUUUUAUUCUAUUUUGACUUUCUGUCAUUUAUUUGCAUGUGGAGGGCAUUGUGGUCCAAAGCGGACGGCUCGUAAAGUGUUAGAAAGUGGUUUUUAUUGGCCUACUCUUUUUAAGGAUGCAUAUUUGUUCUGCAAAUCUUGUGAUAAGUGUCAAAGGGUGAGGAAUAUCUCUCGUAGAGACCAAAUGAGUCAAACCCCCAUAUUAUUUGUUGAAAUUUUUUAUAUUCGUCUUUUGGUUUCUUGUACAUUAUACUUGCUGUUGACUAUGUUUCCAAAUGGGUGGAGGCAAAAGCCACCCGGACUAAUGAUUCUAGAGUAGUCGCAAAUUUUAUAAGAUCUAACAUUUUUGUCCGUUUCGGAAUGCCGAGAGCUAUAGUGAGUGACAGGGGCACCCAUUUCUGCAAUAAGACAAUCACUGCAUUGUUUCGUAAGUAUGGUGUGCUCCAUAAAUUGUCCACUCCAUAUCAUCCACAAACGAAUGGGCAGGCCGAAGUGUCGAAUAGGGAGGUCAAGUCAAUUUUAGAGAAGAUGGUGCGGCCUGAUAGGAAAAACUGGAGUCUGAAAUUGGAAGAUGCUCUCUGGGCCUACCGCACCGCAUAUAAAACACUAAUUGGGAUGUCCCCAUACAUGUUAGUUUUUGGGAAGCCCUGCCACCUCCCGGUGGAAUUUGAACACAGAGCAUUCUGGGCGCUUAAGGGGUGUAAUAUGGACCUUAUGGAGGCCGGGGGACACAGAAAGUUCCAAUUACAAGAGUUGGAAGAGCUAAGGAAUGAAGCCUAUGAGAACGCUGCAAUAUAUAAGGAGAAGAGUAAAAUUUUUCAUGACCAACAAAUGUCGAGAAAGUCGUUUGUCAUAGGGCAAAAGGUCCUACUUUAUCACUCGAGACUUAAGCUUUUUCCUGGUAAGUUGCGUUCCCGUUGGAUUGGUCCAUUUGUUGUUACUAAUAUUUCUCAUUAUGGUGCAGUGGAAAUCCAAAAUCUGAAGACGGAGAAAAGGUUCGUAGUCAAUGGUCACCGUCUAAAACCUUAUUAUGAAGGGUUUAAUAGUGAGCAAGUGGAGGUUCUAUUCCUUGAUAAUCCAAGUGGUGAAAUCUAAACAGUUGAAGGCCAUGUCUAGCCAAAGACGUUAAAGAAAGGCGCUGCUUGGGAGGCAACCCAAGGAUUACAAUAUUUGUUGUGAUCAUUCUUCAUUACUCUGCAAUUUUUCAGUUUCCUUUUAAUGUUUUGAUUGUUUUUGUGGUGUUGGACAGAAGAAUAGGGGUUCCAAGGCGUGCCCACGCCUUGGAAAGGUUGCGCCAGGUGCCCUGAGCAAAUUGGAGACUAGCAGCUCCAAGGUGUGCCCACGCCCUGACAGAAAUUCGUUUGGACAUCAUUUAGAUACUGUGGUCAGAAUACCAUGCCCUCCAAGGCGUGCCCACGCCUUCCAACCCCUCCGAUAGCGAAAGUAAAAAAUAAAAAAAAAAAAUUUUUGACCCAGACCCUCCUUUUUCACUUUGUCUUCUUCUUUGCUUAGUCCUGCCCAGUACCUCUGUCUAAGUUUUUCCCCGCUGAAGUUUCUUUUGUUGUUGUCUUAGUAGCCAUUUCACUUCCUUCUCCCCUUGUGUUGUUGGUCGUCCUUCGCCGUGCGCCGCCUCUGCUAGCCGCCGCCGCCGCUGCCUUCCACCAGCAGUCUGCCGCCGCCCCCGAGGUCCAGCAGCUCCGCAGCGAGCAGCCUGCACGGCGUCAGAUUCGCGGCCGCAGCAGAUCCGCAGCCUCCGCACCACGCGCGACAGGAGCGCACCGCAAGCUUCUCCUAGCAGCGCGCCUGUGCGCCAAACCCCCUGUGCGCCAAACCCCCUGCGCGCCUGCUCCCUUUCCUCUGCUGCUCCACCCUAAGCCCAGCAACGCGCGCCUGCCGCGCGCGACCUCCAGCGCGCAACCCUCGCGCGCGCGGACAGUAACCGCGCCCACCCCACCGCGCGCUCCACAGCGCCUCGCCAGUCGCACAGCACCAGAUCUGCGCAGCCCGCCUGCGCGGCCUUCCUCACAGCCGCGUGCCACCAGCUCUCCCUCUCCUCAAUUUUUCGUCCCAACAGGGGCCAGGAAAAAGUGGUACCCCUAUUUGCCUCUCUUGUUGAAUUGGUGACUUCGAUUGGGAAUUUUAAUUGCUAAAUUUUCGCUUCCUUCGGGGUUAACAAAAAAUUUAUUCGGGUAAUUGGAGGGACCGUUUGAUUGUUGUCUGAAAGUGGGAGACCUAACACCUGCCUUUCUUUGAUUAUCUAUUUUGGGACAUCUGUGGGCUCUGGUUAAUUUAUAUUUUAAUUCAAGUGGUUAGUUCAUCGUUGAUUGUUGCCUGUUAUUGACUGAUAUCUUGAUUUGAGGGGAGUUGGAUCGGUCUUGUUUAUUGUUGUCGGCUAAUUGGCGGCAGUGGGACAUUGGUUGAUGUUUGUUGUCUAGUUGUUGUUUAGUGGGGUAAUUGUGUCCCCCUUUGCUGUUGAGCUGCUGAGUAUUUAGUAAUUUUGGUUGACUGUGGUCCCCUAUCUGCUUUUGGUGGUUGGUUGGCUAUCUUUGAGCUGAUUUACUCUGUCUGUGGUCCCUGAAUGCCUCCUAAAAAGGCAACCACUGCUGGGCCGUCUGGGUCCCAGCCUCGCAAGAGGCGAGCCCCGGUUCAACCCCUCAUUCGGUCCCGUCUGGGCCUGAAUAAGAGCACUAUGUCUCCUGGGGGAGGGGGGAAACGGUCAUUAAUCUUACACCGGCACAAGUGGAGCGGUUUAAUAACUUGGCACACCGUCCUUUUACUCCUUGUAAGUACUUCCAUGCCCCAACCUUGGACCAUUUGCGAAUUGCACGGGAAGUUGAACAGUUGUUCUCGGCCAUAGGUUGGCAAAAAUAUCUAAUCAUUAACUACCAUACGUUUGAGGAGCUGUGUUGUGAAUUCUACUCCACUUUCGAGUUUAACAGAAAUGAAUUCAUCACUUUGGAUGAGCCGGAGGUCAUUAAUUUCAGAUUGGGAGGUACUCAGUUUGGUAUGUCCAUUAAUGAGUUUAAUCUGACUUUGGGGUUUGUUAGUGAGGACACCAUUGCCUCCGGGGCAUAUAUAAACAGUGCGUGUGACUACACCAGACCGUUCUCUACUGACUACAUUGACAUUUGGAGGGAGUGGUCCACGGAUCGUCAGGUUUACAAUCCGAGUCAGUCGAAGGCUUCCCAUCUGAAGGAUCCGGUCUUGAAGGUUAUCCACAGGUUCUUAGCUCACAAUUUCUCGGGGCGAAAGGAUACCUCCAGCACGCUUACCAAAGUGGAAUUUUAUUUUCUUUGGUGCAUGCGCAACAGGGUUCAGGUUAACUUUGGAUGUUGGGUGGCCACCCAGAUGGAAACGGUCAUGCAAAAGCGUAAUAAGCCGGUGAUUCUGGGUUCACUCAUUACUCACUUGGCCAUUCGAGUGGGAGUGCUUGAUCUGGACAAGGGGCACAACUACGCUCUAGCUCGAGAAAUUGAACCCCUGGAUUUGCGUAGCUUGGAGCGAAUGGGGGUUAUUUUCAAAGUGGGCGAUAUCUAUCAGUUUAUGCCCCCUGGCGAGGGCGGGGCACAGCCCCGGGUUCCUCCGACUGCCCCAUCCACUGAGCCUCAACCGCAUCCGGAUCAGGCGGGCCCGUCCUCCUCUCAUGCUCCCCCUGACUGGGAACCCCAAUUUCACUCUCUCUAGAGGUCUAUCCAUGCACUAGGAGGGCGAGUUGAGGGAAUAGAAGACCGGCUUCGAGCACUACAAGUCUUCGCCCGUAUUCAGACAGAGAAUCAAGCGACUUUCUAUGCUCAUAUUGGCUUCCAGCCGCCGCAUCCACCGCCUCCUUAGGCUCCAGCCGCACCUUUUCAGUAGUCAGGGAAGUUUUCGCUCCCUCUGUCCUUACAAUUUAUUUUUUCUGGGUUACAUUGAGGACAAUGUAGGUUUUAGGUGGGGGGAGUGGCUUCCAUUAGUUCUUUUUCAUUAGUUCUUUCUCUUUUUCAUUAGUUCUUUUUGCUUUGUUACUCAAAAAAAAAACAUGGGAUGAAUGAAAAAAAAAGGGAAAAUGAAAAACAUUGUAGUUAGUCGGCUUUUUGGUUUAUUUCUAUGCUUGUUAGUGUUGGGUCAUGUUGCUGUGAUGAAUGACACAAUCAAAGUGAGUGGGUAUGUGGUCAAAUAUGCGAGCCGUGCAUUUUGUUUCCCUUGACAAUGUCGUUGAAUGUUGAAUAUGUUGGAAUUGACCCAUUCUUGUAACUUUUGGGGAGCUUUUGAGCCUUGCUUGAGCAUAUUAUUCUUGUUUGCUCUAUUUUUGGUUGAUUGAGUGGGUAUCGCACAUGGUAUUGGCAUUCUAGAACUUGCUAUUUUAUACAUGUCGAGACCACAUUUUGUUGAACUGGAUGCAUUUGAAAUGAUAAGGGCAUUUAGGAUUUAACCCUCUUUAGCUAUCUAAAACCAAGCCCUCAUCUUAUUUCCCAAUAGUGAACCAGUUUGAGCUUUUAUCCUUCGCUUUUGGUUGUUAUCCGUGUUUGUUAACCCGAGACCUCUUUAAACUCUCUUGUUUAUCCCUGUGUUGUCAAGGGAUGGCUGAAAUCCAUCAUUUGUGCAAAGCAAACAAAAUUUGGGGUUGCAAGUGUUGUUAGAUUGGGAGCUAUAUGAUGCUAUCCUUGUAUAAAGAGGGAGAAAUUGGAAAAAGGCCACUAACCAGAAGACUUUGUCUUACAGGGCGUGCCCACGCCUUGCAGGACUUUCUCCCUUAAAAAAAAAAAAUUCUGAGGAGACCUCGUGAGCAGAGGACUAUGGGCUAUAAGGCGUGCCCCCGUCUUGCGAGCCGUUUACUGCAAAAAAAAAAAAAAAAAGGGCACUUGCACAGUGUGUACAGCAAAUGAAAAUUGCCUUGUUUGUGAUACUCCUCCGGUAAAGCACUGUGGUUAUUGGUGAGUUUCGGACAUUCUCUUGACACUUUACCCCCUAUAUGUACCUUCUUACCUCGCCUCUCACCUGAGCCCCAUUAUUACAACCUGUCCGGUGUGUUCUAAUUUCGGCGAUAUUGUCAGGGAUCUGAGGUGCUUGUGUCAGUAUAGCUUAUUGCAUGACCUUUGCUCUCUCGGUUGCACUUCUGAGCUCCGAAAUGCUUGAGGGCAAGCAUUGUCUAGGUGUGGGGGGAUUUGAUAGAGCCGUUAUUUGGCACGUUUUGCAAUGUUAUUUUGUCAUAAUUUUGGCUAUUUACUGUGCUAAGUACUGAGGUUUAACUUAUAUUUCAUAUUUGUAUGAAUUAUAGGUGGCCGGCAUUAAAAAUGAUCUCUUGAGGCAAAUUUACAGAAGAUCUUUCGUCUCAGAGCGUGGCCACGCCUUAAAAGGUAGACGUUAUCGAAAAGCCGGACCCUGGUCCACGUGAACCGCGAGGAGCAUGGGAUUAAAACUCCAAAAGGCUAGCUUUUGUUUCAAUCAAUUGGGUCAGAUGUGACUUGGCUCCUGGCGGCUUCAAUUAAAAAGAAACUCCAAUGAGAAUGAGGAAAUUAGGUCCACAUGGACCAGCUAUGCGGGAUAAAAACUCCAAUGAAGAGAAGAGCUUUGCUCCGCGUGGAUUUCCCCUGCGGCGCUAUAUAAGACAACAAGAAAAGGGACCCGGGGGGCGCUACUUUUAGCUUUAGAUUUACUUCUGCAAGAUUUGUGAGACGUUUGCUUUUUCUUUCUUUCUUCCCUACGGGAGUUUGAGUUUUUCCUUUUCCCAGGCGCUAGACGUCCUUGCCCCUUUUGACUUUUCACUGGAUAAUUUCUGCGUAGCUUUUGGCUUGUACUGGCGGCUUCAACACGAAGCCAGAACCACGCGAGCUUCAUCGUGAGAGCUUUUGUCUCUUCUUAGUAGAUAAUUUGACUUGCGGCUUUGGCUCUGCGUUACUUUAUUUCCUCCAUCCUCUUCGGCAAUUAAUUGAAUGAAUUCAAUUAAAUCACGCGGGAUUGACACGAUGAGGAGCGGCUAAUUUUCUCCUCUACCCAAAGGUUGACGCGAAGGCGCGGUCCAUAAUAUCUGUGAGAUCUAAUCGAAUCUUCAUUAUUUCUUCCAAUUUAUUGCUAUUCGUACGUUUUCUGAAUUAAUUGUUCAUGGGUAUUGUAUUAAUUGAAUAUCAAUGGCCGGGUAUUUGAUUUAAUUUAAUAGCCUACUGCCACGUUAAUUAAAUAGAAUCCGUAAUUGUUCAUUUAGUUAACACCCCAUGGCAACCACCAUAAUUGGCUUUAUGAUGGGAAAACGCAAGAUCUAGCUUAAAUAAACCCUCUUAGCGUGUUUAUUGGUUAGGGUUGGGUUCUUAUAGUUUUAAUGCAAUUGGGUAAUUAAAUUCCUAUGGUCGUACCUGGGGUUGUUAUCUGGUUAGGGAAGCAGUUAAUGGUCGUACCUUGACUGUCGAAAAAGUAAGGAAGAAUUGGUUGUCAGAGCUUAUUGAUAACUAUAACCAACCUAGUGAUGAAUGGAUGAAAUACCUUUGCAUCGAUGAGCAUUUAAUUGGACCGUGCCUGAGCAGUUGAACCUUUGGGUAGAAUUUUAUUAAUUGCUAUUUUUAGUGAAUUGUGCUUUGUGAGUUGGUUUUGAAUUUAGUUCGCUUUAUUUUUAUUCUUAUUUUUAUUUUAAUUGUUUGCCUCCCAUUGAAAAUCCCCCAAUUCCAUUCUACUAAUUUGGAAAGAAAUAAUUUCCUACCCGCUCCCUGUGGAAUCGACCCUACUUGCCAUUGUACACAAAAGUAAUACUCUUAUGGACUAAUCUGGUAUAUCGGAUCAAGCAAACUCUUCGGGAAUAUGGUGAAUCAAGUAACCUAUUGCACACUUAGGGUCCCUGCUCCAGUACUUGGAUUUGUUCUAUAAUUAUUUGUGGUGGUAAUUAGGACUUUUUAGUAAUUAUUAUUGCACAGGUUCGGCACCUGUCAGUAUCUGUAAAAAUUACGAGUACAUGGUCCAACAGAGGAGUAGAUAUUACUUACUGAGCGAUUUGUCGCUUAACCCACUUUUUACCAUUCUUGCAGAUUUGAAAAAGUAUGAGUUGGUUACGUAGAGGACCCCGAGGAUGACUUUUAUUAGCUUUAAAGGAAUAGAAGUUGGCAGGCUAGCUACUUCUAGUUAUCGGUCUUAUUUAUUUUCGAUUCCGUUGUUUCCAUUAGAAAAUAAAUGUACGAACGUAUUGGAUAUUCGCAGACUACCUUUUAUAUGAGAUUUGUACCGCACUUUAUUUUAGUUAUAUUAUUUCGUACUUUUGAAGUUUAGACUAGUUAAAUUAUGCCUUGUAUUCUUGAACGGAAUUCGAGAAUAUGGCGGAUGCCACGUGACAAGCACGUGCGGGUUCGGGGCGUGACAUCAUCAAUGCAGAUCAACAACAUGAAAUGCUAUUCUCUUAGAGUCCGUUUGAAUUGCUAUUCUCUGAAGUUUUUGUUGAAAAAUAUACUGUAGUGAUUUAAUGUAUGUGAGAUAAAAAGAUAAUUAGAAAAUAUAUUCGUGGAAAACGUAAAAAUUUUGUGAAGAAAAAUAGCAAUCCAAAAUUAUGAGUUCAAGCAAAAGAUUUCACUUUUGACAGCCAACAAUGAUUAAGACAAAUUUUCAUGGAUUCUAUUUUUACCCCAGUGAGUUCUUGAGAAGUAAAAUUUAACAUAUACUAGUUUUGUAACUUAAUAGAAAUAGCAUGUAAAAAUCGAAAAGCCUCUUGCUUCAACUAUUUAGUUUUCUUGUGACUUAUUAUAGUUUGUUAAUUAUAAGCUAAAAAAGUUGUAUAGAGAGCCUUUUCAAUAAAAUGAAAAUCUUAAUUUGCCUAAGAUAGUUAUGUUACUUAUUUUUCUUCUGUAUAUAAUUUUAACACCUAUAGAAGCAAGAACUAUUUAUUUUCUCAACAAUUCUUAACAAAUCAAAAUUUUUAAUUUGCUUAAAGUAGUUGUGUUACUUAUUUUGACUGUCGAUCGCAUUUUAACACUUAAAAGCACUUACUUUUUUGUUUCCUCACAAACUAUUCUGAUCACCUCCUUCACCCAUCCUCUGAAGCAAACCAUUUAAUGAUUUCCAGUGUGUCAUUCUAUAUUAUAUUAUUCAUUCGACAGUUGUACUCUUUUUUUUUGGGAGAUAGUUAUAUUAUUUUUACUUAUUCAGUGAAUAUUAUUUCCAUGUCUUAAAUUUAGGGGAAAUUAACAGAUAAAAAUAAUCUACGCUGUUCUUGCCACCAAUGAAAUUAAUCCUUAGCUCCACCACUGGAACCACCAAAUAAAAUUGAUGUGAAUUUCACCAAUAAUGAGAGUUUCACCAAAUAAAAUUUGGGCUUUGUUUAUUUGUGCCUCAGUAAGUGUUCUCUGUACUUCGAAGAAAAUGGCUAGUGCUGAUUAUUGAUCUAAACAGGGAUUUUGAAAACUUAAAUGAGAACAAAGGUGGAGGUCAUGGAUGAUAUUAAAGGUGGAAAUUUGGUCCAGGACGACCGAACUAUUGCAUGUUCUUCAUGGUGCUGAAUCGGUAGAUUGCUUGCCAUGUUUGUCCAACAUGAUGAAUUCAAUCUGCCGCUAGUCAUAUCUCCUCAACUAUUAAAACAGAUAUCAUCUUACAGAUGAAUCAGUAAAGAAUGAGUUUCUGAAACGUUAUUGUCUUGACUAGUUCAUGGAAGAGUACAACAUAAUCCACAAUCAAACUUGAUGAUCUCAGAUACGAACUACUAAUAAGGACUUUGGUAUCCCCAGUUGCUUCAGCAAUUCUUUGUGCAGACCCUUCUACAGAUUGUCUGCACCAGUGCACUUCAAUCACUUCCAGUGUACCUGUGUCUGCAAAAUCAUAGGGGAUUUCCAAAGAUCUCAAGCAAUAAUCGAUAGUUGGGUAUCCAGAUUGAGCAAAACAUUCCAUUGCAUCAAUUAGUUGGAAGUUGAAUUAAGAAACACAUCAUCUCACAAAUGAAUCGAGAGAAGAACAAGUUACUGAAAUUUGAUUAUCUUACAAGUUCGGGGAGUAAUACAACAGAAUCCACAAUCAUACUCUUGACAGGUGCCGAACCUGUGCAAUAAUAAGUACCUACUCGAGAAAAAUACAGAUUUUGUAUAUAGCGGUGAGUAGGGUCGAAUCCACAGGGACCGGGGAUAAUUCGUUUCUUCUAGAGUCCAAGGUAUGGGGGGUUUUGGAUUAAAUGCUAACUAAAUAAAUUAAAUGCAGAAAAUAAAUAAAAGAAAUAAUUAUUGGAGAAACUCUAGCCAAGGGUACACUUCAGACAUGGUUCAGGCACUGAUCAUUGAUUCACAGAUAAUUCCACAUUUAUUAAUAGAUUAGUUAUAGUUGUCAUGCACGCGAUAAACAACCAACCCUUCCUUAAUUUCUCGAUAGCUAAGGUACGACCGUCAACUAUUUCUCUAACCAAAAAACAACCCUAGGUACGACCGUAGGAUUUAAUUUCUAGAUUGCAUUAAUAAUUAGAAAGGCCCAAUCCUAACUAACAAACACGCUACGAGGGUUUGUUUAAGUUAGAUCGUAUGUUCCCCUGACGUAAACCCAAUUACGCCAGUUGCUACUGAGAUAAAGAUAACGAACAAUUACGGAUUCAAUUAUCCCUAUUUAGCAAAAUAGCCUAUGUGAAUAAUUAAAUAUUGCGCAUCUAUUCAAUCACUCACACGAGCUAUAGCAAUUAAAAGCAGGAAACAUAUAAAUACCAAUAAAUUAAGGAAGCAAUUAAAAUAAAUUAGAUCUCACAGUAAUUGUUGAACCAAGUCUUCAGUUGUCCCCUUGACUAGAAUUAAGAGGUUAGUCCUCCAUUAAUGGAGAACAACCAUGCGAAAGAACUAAGAAAAGAAAAACUAAAACUAUGCUAAAAGCCUAAAUUAAAAACUAUUGAUUGAUAAAAGUUCUCUGUACGUUUCCCCUUUUUAAAGCCAAAAGGAAGUCUAAUGCUAUCUCUAGUGGUCCCCACACCAAAUUCAAAGUCUUGUACGUUUCUUUUCCUAGAGUCCAAAUGACUCAUGCUUCUUAUCCGUGGUCCCCGCACAUGUGGACAAAGCCUCCAAAGUACUUGUUGUUCCAAAUCUCUCUACGUUGCUUUCUUUGAAAAGCCCAAAUGACUAAAUGCCUUGCACUAGCUUGUGGUCCCCACCAAUUCAAGGACCCAAAGGUUGAAGCCCUUAGAAGUCUGCAUUUUUCCAUACAAGUCCCUCCUUUUUGGUAAUUUUCUGCUUCACUCCUGAAAUUGAUUCCAAAUACCAAAUAUGAGUAAAUAUCAGCAAUUAACACAAUAUUUGUCAGGAAUAGAAGGGGAAAUCAAUAAUAAAUUUACUAACAAAUUAUACCCUAUCAACUCUUAUCAUCUCAAAUAUGAACUACUAAUAAGCACUUUGAUGUCCCCAGUUGCUUCCCUGAUUCUUUUUGCAGACUCUUCUGCAGAUUGUCCACACCAGUGCACUUCAAUCAAUUCCAGUGUGCCUAUGUCAGCAAAAUCAUUCGGGAUUUCCUCGAGGUCUUUGCAAUUUUGCAAGACAAAGCCGUUCAAGUUUGGGAAGGUGAUCACAAGUGGCAUUCCAUUGAGAAACGUUCAGAUUGUCUAACUUCAAGAAUUUGAGUUCCUUGAAGUGUUCUUCCUCCAUGUCCCAUAUCAGCCCCUCAAAGGCAUCACGAAGUAAUUCGAGAACUUCCAGGUUGGGUAGUCUCCCAAUUGUUGAGAUCUGACUCCAUGGUAGACGAAAGUUUGAAAGAGUCAAUUUCCUCAGAUUGGACGGGAGAAUGAAUUCCCUGGUAAUAGCGCUCCCGUAGUAAAAUACAUUGAGUGACACCAAAUGAGUUAGAAAAUCUAAUCUUGGAAACUGAUAGGAAUUCUUCGGAGAACCCUGUGGUUGAAAGAAUAUGCAUCUCAGUUUCUGAAGAUUUGGCAACCUCUUUAUUAUUGAUUCUGUAUCUUCACCACAAGAGAGAGAGAGACGGGAAAAGCUGACCAAAUUUCCCAACUGAGAGCAGCCUUCAAGCCCUUCAUCAUCCAAUGUGAAAGCAACAUGCAUAUUCACAUGAAGAUGCCUCAACCUUGUCAUGUGCCAAAUAGUAUCU
rnacentral:lncRNA from 1 species